rnacentral:lncRNA from 1 species
AAUCCCCUUUCUCAUACUCUUCCCAAGUAUGUUUGGGGAACCAAUCCAUGCUCUCAUUAGAACCAACUUUGGCAUUCCUCCUCCUCCCAACUAUCUCAAACAACAGCAUCCCAAAGCUAUAAACAUCACACUUAUGGGUUAUGGGAUGGUUUUUCAGUAAAAAUUCUGGUGCUGAGUAGCCUGGAGUCCCUCUAUAUCCUGAGACUGUCAGGUGGGUGCCGUCCCUGUUACAAAGCUUAGCAAGCCCAAAGUCUGCAACCUUAGGAAAGAAGUUAGCAUCAAGAAGAAUGUUACCGGGUUUUAUGUCAUAGUGAAUGAUUCUUUCUACACAUUCUUCAUGUAAGUAAGCUAUGCCCUUUGCUGUCCCAACUGCUAUAUGAUGCAGCUUCUCCCACUCGACUUCUUGUGCCUCGCUGAACAAGUACUUGUCCAGGGAUCCAUUUUCCAGGUAUUCGUAGACAAGUGCGCUCAUGAACUGAUCAUAGCAGAAACCAUAGAGCCUGACUAGAUUGAUAUGGUAAGUCCUGCCUAUGGUUCCCACCUCUGCCAUGAACUGUUCUUCAGCUUGUCUGUCUGGACUCCUAUUCAGGACCUUCACUGCAAUCUUGACCCCAUUGGGGAACUGCCCCUUGUAAACCAUUCCAAACCCUCCAGAACCCAGUGUUGUGGUGUAGUUAUCAGUGAAGCUGCAUAGCUGCUGAGCAGUGAACCUGACCGGCUUCUCCCUCGCUAAUUCUUGGAAGAACUUCUCCAUUGUUGGUGUAUCAACCUCCCAAACCUGUAUCGUAUUCACAGGUGGGGGAGCCACUGCCGCUUGCAAUUCUGUCACAAUAGCCUUCUUCGCUUUCCUUGCACAAACGAGAGAGAUAACAGCGAUAAUUCCAAGCACCACCAAGCUCAAUAUUACGGCUGCAAGUCAUGGGAGUUUGAACCAGUAAGAUCCCAACUUCAAACUGUUGUCUGUCAAUAUCGAAUUCCUUCGUAUUAUUGUCGCAGAAAGAACUUACCUCCUGCUGUAAUCCCAGAGUUGUUGCUUGGAGGAGAGUAGUCAUAUGAAGACAUCUACAAAGGUAGCAAAAUGGACCAAGUUAGAUAGGACUAUACAAUUCUCUAUUCAGUCAAGUAUAGAUAUAGAUUUUGUUUACAAAUCUCGCUGGCACCUUGGCUAGGUGAGCAAUUAAUUAACCAAAAAUUUCUUCAUUAGUUCAAGGUUUUGUGCAGUGCAGGCGUAUCAUACAUGACCCUUUAACAUACUAAGAACAAUCAAGUUAGUGAACUCACCCUCUUCGGAAGAUCACUCCUUGCUUUUCACCACCAGAAAUUGCAGCACAGCUUCUCUUUGCUCUUUGCUUCCUCCCAUUGCCUUUGUAUAUAUAUAUAUAUAUAUACAUGUAUUUGAGGGAGGAAGUUUUGGGGAAAUUUCUGUCAUAGGCCUUCAACUUGGUAGUCAACAAGGGGAAGGGAAAGAUCUACGGAACCUCUCUCUUUCACUAUCAAAUUCAAAGUGAAGAAGGAAAGAAAUUUCUCAAAAAAUUAUUUUAAUGGUAUGGAUUAUUAUGCCUAUGAGGGGAAGUUUCGGAAAAAUUCCUGCCAUUGACCUUCACGGUUGCAUUCAAAGAAUCAAAAAAUAAGAUAGAUAAAGGCAAGGAGAGAGCUACACCACCUUCGGCAAUGACAUGGAUUGGUAUCACGAAAUUUUUUAGAAAAGUCACUGACAGGCUUAAUUGCAAGGAGAUAUGGGAACUAAAUACAAGAGAAAUAUAAAUUUGUAAAAAAAAUUAUUAAUAUUUUUAAAUAUAAAAAUAUCUUCAUAUAUUAUCAUUUCUUUUAUAUCUUAAAUACAAAAUAAAUUACAUUUUAGUAUGUUUUCAAAAUUUUCAUAUUAUUACUAAGUACAGAAAUUUAUAUUAUACAUGCAUUAUUUUAUUUAAAUUCAAUAAAUAUAUUAUUACUUAUUUUAUUAUUUGCAAAGUUUUUUUAACAUUUAUAUGAGUUUUGAUUAAUUUUCAUAUAUUUUUUGUAACAAUAUUUCCCAUAUAUCCGAAAUAUCUAUAAAAUUUGACUAUUAAUAUAUAUGAGAAAACCAAUUUUUCAUUCUUAUUAUUAGAACGCAUAUGUAUUUUCUAAUUUUAUCUUUUAUUAUUAUUUUAAAUUUUAAAUUAUUAACUCUUUACUUUUAAUUUUUAAUUCUUAAUCUUUAAUUUUUAACGUUUAAAAUUUUAAAUUUCUAUUUUAUCUCAUUUGGGUAUAGUUCCUAUUUUUUAUUUUUAAAAUCAAAGCAAUAAUAACCUAUAUAUAAAAAAAAGUAAAAACUCUUUUACAAAAAAUAUAUAUUUAUGUUAUAUCUUCAAGAAUUUCUUUUAAAAAUAAAAAUAAAAAUUUCAGAUAGUAAACAUUACUUGUUAACGUAAGCUUCUAAAAGUUAUAAUAUAAAAAUUAUUACUAUUUUCUAUUUUUAAAAAUUGAAACAUGAAGCAUUCAAACAUAUACUAAAUUUUUAAUUUUUUAAAUAUUUAAUAAUAAUAAUAAUAAUAAUAAUAAUAUUUAGUAAUAAAUACAUAUAGGUCUAUUGAUAUUUAAUAGGCCGGCCACUAACCACCCAACCUAUUGAAUGCUGAUUGGGAUAUAUAUAUAUAUAUAUAUAGGUCUUUGUUGACCGGGUAUUAGAAGAAGUGAUGAUAUCAAUGCGUUGGCUAAGUUUGGUAGAGGAAAUUUCCUUGUUAAAUGUGGUAUUUGAAAUGCCACUCCCACCUUUCUCUUUCACCGUCAAGUGGAGAAAGAAAGAAAAGAAAGGACUAACAAGAACUUAAUGGUAUUUGGCUAUUUGCAGGGAUUUAGCAUGGUCUUCCCAUGAGCUCUGCUCAUCCUCACUCCACCAAAUUAGUACGCAAACGCAUCAUCAAAACUUAGCUGAACUUAACGAUAUAUAAGCAUAUUGCCCUAAAACAUGAUCAACUUACAUGGUGUAUAGCUAACACAAAGGCAACUACAAUAAUAUUAUACUACAAAUUUUUUAACAAACUCUACUUCAAUUUUCUUCUCAUUUCAUAGUUGAAACUUGAACCUCUCUCCCUUGAGUGCUUCCAUAGUUAAGAACUAGCUACUUGUAUCUCAUACUUGGCCAUGAUUGGUGUGGUUUCCUUGUACCAAAUUGAAUUGGUUUCUUUACUUGUUGCAUAGCUUGAACUUGUACCGGUUUCAUUUGCCUGCUGUAACACGUUUAUACCUACUGAGUAUAGAUAAUGAAACGGUUUUGGUGGUGGCAUGACUUCUACUCCUCCCUCCAGCAUCUUUACCACAGCACUCAUCAGAGGCCUUGAGUCGGGUGAGUCCUGAACACACCAUAGAGCCACCAUAGACAUUCUCUCUGCUUUCUCCCUGUCCUUCUCUUCAAUUCCACAGGCCACAGUCAUUGCUGCUAAAUCCCCUUUCUCAUACUCUUCCCAAACAUGUUUGGGGAACCAAUCCAUGCUCUCAUUAGAACCAAUUUUGGCAUUCCUCCUCCUCCCAACUAUCUCAAACAACAGCAUCCCAAAGCUAUAAACAUCACAUUUAUGGGUUAUAGGAUGGUUUUUCAGUAAAAAUUCUGGGGCCGAAUAGCCUGGAGUCCCUCUAUAUCCUGAGACUGUCAGGUGGGUGUUGUCCCUGUUACAAAGCUUAGCAAGCCCGAAGUCUGCAACCUUAGGAAAGAAGUUAGCAUCAAGGAGAACGUUGCCAGGUUUUAUGUCAUAGUGAAUGAUUCUUUGUACACAUUCUUCAUGUAAGUAAGCUAUGCCCUUUGCUGUUCCAACUGCUAUAUGAUGCAGUUUCUCCCACUCGAUUUCUCGUGCCUCACUGAACAAGUACUUGUCCAGGGAUCCGUUUUCCAGGUAUUCGUAGACAAGUGCACUCAUGAACUGAUCAUGGCAGAACCCAUAGAGCCUGACUAGAUUCAUAUGGUAAGUUCUGCCUAUGGUUCCCACCUCUGCCAUGAACUGUUCUCCAGCUUGUCUGUCUGGACUCCUAUUCAGGACCUUCACUGCAAUCUUGACCCCAUUCAGGAACUGCCCUUUGUAAACCACUCCAAACCCUCCAGAACCUAGUGUUGUCGAGUAGUUAGCAGUGAAACUGCAUAGCUGUUGAGCAGUGAAUCUGACUGGCUUCUCUUUUGCUAUUUCUUGGAAGAACCUCUCCAUUGUUGGUGCAUCAACCUCCCUCGCCUGCAAUUCUUUCACAAUGGGCUUCCUUGCUUUCCUUGCACAAAGGAGAUAGAUAACAGCGAUUUUUCCUACUACCACCAAGCUCGAUACUAUGACUGCAAGUCAUGGGAAUUUGAAUCAAUAAGAUCCCAACUUCAAUCUGUUGUAUAUAUUUCUCACAGAAAGCACUUACCUGCUGCUGCAACCCCAGAGUUGUUGUCUGUCGGAGGAGAGAAGUCUGAAGACAUCUACAAAGGCAGCAAAUUGGACUAAGUUAGAUAGGACUAUACAAUUCGCUAUUCAGUUGAAGUAUUUAUGUCGAUUUUGGGUACAAAUCCCCUGGGCACCUUGGCUAAGUGAGUGGUUAAUUAACCGAAAUUUUCUUCAUUAGUUCAAAGUUUUGUGCAUUGCAGGCUUGUUAAUCAUUCAUGAACCUUCAACAUACUAAGAACAAUCAGGUUAGUGAACUCACCCUCUUUGGAAGAUCACUCCUUGCUUUUCACCACCAAUGCACCACAACUUCUCUUCGCUCUUUGCUUCCCCCCACUGCCUUGACCUGAAAAUUCACCAAAGUUUCUUCACUCCUGAAUCAUAAUUCUGCAAUGGGUGUGAAGGGAAGAAGUUUUUGGGAAAUUUCUGUGACAUCUCUGCCGACUAACUUGGUCAAAAUUCUAUGGUACCCAUGUGGUCGGUACCAAAGUUAGAUUUUUGACCGUUGAAUUUAAAUAUUUUAAUCAUGACCGUUGAUCUAGAUUGUACGAAAAGGGGAAAACUUGCGUGUAAUCAGUUUCUUGUUAAGUGUAUUGUUUAAAAUGAUGAUCUAAUGAUAAUUAAGUAAUGAUAUUUUAUAUUAUUAAAUAUAUAAUUUAUAAUAAAUAAAAAAUAAUAUAUUAUCUAAUUUCUUUUUUAUUUUUAUUUAAAAAUGUAUCUAAUAAUAAUUUUAGUUUUUUUAUCAAUAAUUUGAGUUUAUUUUGAAUUUAAAUUUUACUAUAUUAGAUAACUAAAAAAAAAAAAUCAAUUUCAAUAUAAAUCAAUUAAAAAUGGAUUUUAAUUUAAUGUAAUUCUCAUAAAUAAAUUAAAAUAUAUUUUUCAUUUAAAAUAUUUAUUUUUUAACAUGAAAGUACUAAGGAUAAAAAAAUCAAUUUAAAAAAGAUAAAUUUUACAAUAAAAUUAUUUAAUAACAAGAAUCUUUAUUUUAUAAAAUGGAUAAAUAUGAAAAAAAUGUUAUAAAAUUAUUAAAUGUGAAUGUUAAUAUUUUAUAAAUCAAUUAAAAUAGAUAUUUUAUAAUUUUAAUUUUCUUUUAUUAAGGAUUUAAUUUAAAAUAAAUAUUUUAAUUUAAAAAAAAUUAAAUUUAUUAUAAGGCUCAUUCAAUAAUAUAAAUAGUGUUUUAUAAAAUAAAAUAAAAAAGUUUAAAAUUGAAUAAAAAAUUAUAGAAAUUUAUAAUUCAUUGAUCAUAUUUUGUUAUAAGUUGUUGAUAAGUCUCUAUUGUUAAGUGUAUUUAGUAACUUUUAUAUAGAACUUCUACUUAGAUGAGUUAGUUGGGUUGAUCGUUAAUCUAAGUCCAACCUAACUCAACUUCAUUUUUUUUUUAAGUUUGGAUUAGUCAAAUUAAACCGAUGUUGAUUGAACUUUGACUAUAGACUAUUCAUGAGACUCAAUAUUUAGAUUGUCAUCGUAUUGGUGAAAAAAGAUUUCAUAAUGAAAUGAUUCUCAUUGCUUUCUCUCUAUCAUUGGUAAGUUGUACUCAUGUGUCAGUGUUGUUGGAUUGUGUGACGUAUUUGUCACCAUGGGUUGAUCAAACUUUGACCAUAGCCAAUUCAAAAGCGACACCAUAUAUUUUUAAUGAUGCUUAAUUUGAUAUAGAGUUGUUUGAGAUAUAUAAUGUGUUAUAUUAAAUGCAUCACCUUUGAGUUAUGGUGUCACAUCAUUGUAAAUGAUUAUGAAAGAUAUGGUUGUUUUUUGUUGAUUAGCCUGUUAAUAAAUAAGAUCAACUUGUGCAUAUUUUGUCCAUAAAUAUAAUAAUCAUAUCACAUUUAACUUAUAUUUUUGUAAUGCUUAUGGAUUAACCUGUAAUACAUUACAUCAUCUAGUAAUAUUUGCAUAUCAAAUGUUCACAAAACGAUAGUACAUCAAACCUACCAAAACUAAAAAAGAAAAGUGAAUGCACAUUAAAACAUGAUUUAGAAAUGUUAAGCAUCCCAACAUUCAUGUAUACCUGCAUUUCAUAUGCAUAAAACCGGUUAACCGUAAAAUGACACAAGAGUUGCAUCCAAAAACCCAAAAUUCUCAAUACCAAAUAAAGUAACGUUUAUAUCCUAUAAUGUAUGGCAUCAGAGUCACAUCUAAAAACCAAAAAUCUUGUUGCCUCUUUCUCUUUUCUUUUUAUUCUUCAUACUGUCCUCCCAAAAGUGUAUCCUGCAUUUCAUAGUUUAAUGAGUUUUAAAGCUCUUAUUGAAAAUAAAAAUUAAUUAAUGUUAUAAAAAAUAAAUAAAUAAAUCUAAGGACUGAUGUUUUCUUUUUUCUUUUUCCCAUUUUGAUAUCAAAAUAAUUCGUAAAGAAUAAGUAAUGUCAUACAAUACUAAUGGAAAAUUCAUAUGACAACUAAGGGACUCACCAUGCAUGAUCACGAUACAUCAACAUGAUUCAUAAUUAGUCAUAACAUAAAAAUAGUCAAUUGUCUUCUAAUUUCAUCAAAUUCUACUUAAGAAUAUGUUUUUUUUUAUCAUCAAACUGAAAUCAAAUGAGAAUAACAUUAAUAUCACAAUAAUUGGAAGAUGAAAUUAUGUACAAUUCAUUAAAUGAGUAAAACCUUUAAUACAAUAACUAUAGAAUCAACAAUUAUCUCUUUAAUGAAUCUCAUAACAAAGUAGUCACAUUUGAACUCAAAUAAAAAUAAUUCAAGAAAAUAAAAAAUAAAUCAAAACUACAAAAUCAAAAUAUAAAUCUAAAAUUUUAGAAAAUACUAAUCUUCCACUUAAAAUCUGCACUUUUUAAAUUUAUUUUUUAUAAUUCAUUAUGUUUUUAAAAAUCAUUUUUAACAUUUAAUUCUUUUUAUAUAUAUAUAUUUUUUAUUUCUUGGAAGGAUUUUCUUAAUUUCAAUAUUUUUUAAUGUUCAUUUUGUGAAAUAAUAAUGUUCAUUAAAUUUCAUCUCAAUUAUAUAAAAUAAAAUUUUAGUAACAAAAUAUAAAAAUGUUUUCAACUACUAAUAUGAUAGGACAUGAUAUUAUAACAAGCAUGAAAAUUGUGUAUAUAAGACCAAAAACCUAAUUCAUUAUUAAAAAAUGUUAAGAGAAAAAAUAGUAUGAGAAAGAAUUAAACAAUUUUUCAUAAAAAUUAUUGAUUUUUCGGUUAUAACUCCAAUUGAUAUUUUUUUUUCUAAUUAAAAUAAUUAAUAAAAAAUUUUGGAUAUGAAAAAUAUGUUCAAAUAAAAAUAAUAACAAUUUUAAAAUAUCAAAGGAAAAGAUAUUCAAUAUUUUAAAUUUUUUACUUUUAAUAUUCUUCAGAUCAAUAAAUUAUCAAACAUCUUUUUCAAAAAAAAAAAAAUUGAAGAAAAGGAAGACCUUUGUGAAAGGAAUUGGAAAUUUUUUUGUAAUAAAAUGAUUUUAUAGAAAUUUCAUAACCUUGAAAGGAAAAUUUCAUCAUCAAUUUCAAAUUACUCCAAAAUUUAGUCAAUGCAUAUAAAAACAAUAAGAAAAAAAAGACAAAAAUAAAACAUAUUUUGAGAAUCCUUUUGCGGGAGAUGACAAUAUUGCGAAUAAUUUUUGAGAAAAUUAUUUUCCUAAUAUGACCAACCAAUAUCUUCAUCACAACAUACUAUAAUAUUCUUAGAAAAUAAACAAAUUAAAGGAAUUUUCAUUAAAAAUCAAAAGAAAAUUAUAAAACAUCUUCUUAAAAAAAAAAAGUUUUAUAGAAGGAAUUAAAAAAAUUUAUGUAAUAAAAGGAUUUUAUAGAAAUUUUCUAACCUUGAAAGAGAAAUUCUAAAUUUUGGUCAACGCAUAUAAAAACAAUAAGAAAAUAAAGUAAAAACAAAAAACAAAAAACAAAAAACAUAUUUCAAGAAUAGAAAAAAUAUAAAUAGAACAAGAUGAGAUAUUAACCAUAAUACCAAGUAAAAUAAUAAUAAAAAAAAUCAAAAUAUAAGAUUUGAUCAUUUUUAUAAUUAUAAAAAUUUUCAUUCCUAUUUAAAAUUUAAAAAACAAUUCAUUUACAUGAAUAAAUAAAUAAUUAAACUAAUUUUUCAUUGUUAAUUCCAACAUUCCAAACCAAUGCCAAUAUGAUAUGGAAAUUAUUUCAUUUUUCCUUUUGUGGGAGAUGACAAUAUUAAGAAUAACUUUCUAAAAAAUUAUUUUUCAUGAGUGUGAGAAGAGGUAGAAGAAAAUUAUGGUUAGGGUUAUGGAAUGAGAUUUUUUUUUGGAUCGGGAGUAUGUGGAAACAAUGAGUUUUUUAUAUAUUAUUAUUAUUCUCAAAGUGGGCCCGUUAAAUUAUAGUAUUUUAAAAUUUUUAUUUUAUAUGGUGUCACUUUUCAAAAACUGACACUAUAAACUUAAAAUUAAUAUCAUCUAUCUUAAUUAAAAAAAUUUAUAUGAUGUGUCACCUUUAUGGAUUUUAAGUCAUAUGGUGUCUUUAUUUUAAAAGUGACACCAUAAAUUAUUUUUGUAGUAGUGAUUCUUUACUUAGGAUGUUACGGGUUAAGCUAUCGAAUCAACUCUUAGGGUUAAAGGAGUGUUAACGUUCUAAAGAAUUUUUUUAUGUGAUAAAUGACGAAUUUAGCCUCAUUAUAUAUUUAAACUUCUUAUGAAUUAGGAUUUUUUAGAGAGCGUGAUCAUAAUUAAGAAAUUUUUUUGAGAGUUUUACCAUUAUAAUCUUUCUUUUCUUUUGAUUAGUGGAUUCUUAAAUGUUAAUAUAUUUUAUGGACUUAAGAAUCACAUUGAUCAUCGAACCACAUUAAAAAAUUUAUGUUUUUAUUUAUUUUCUGUUAAUGUGUACAUGAUUUGAUUAAAAAGUGUCACCAUGUUCUUUAGCUUGUCUGUCUAACCUCUUGUUUAGGAACUGUUAGAAGAGUGAUCGACCUCCCCAUCUCAUAAAGAACUUCUUUUGAAUCAUUUUCCAGUUUUAUUAAUCACCUUAUUUUUGUUAAUAGUAAUAUUUGCUUUCUGCAUGAAAUUAUGUUCAUUAUUUUCACUGAAUAUGAAAUUAUUUAAGCUAUGUUAUAUAACCAUUACAUUGAAUUUUGCCCAGAUGUCCAUUGGGCAUCUGGACACCAGUGGAACCAUGGCCACUGCAUGUCAGAACAAGCAAAAGUACGUGGUCUAAUGAUAUUUAAUAGGUCGGCUACUAACCACCCAACUCAUUGAAUGCUGAUUGAGACUCUUAUAUGGAACCAUGCAUGGCCACUGCAUAUUCGGUCAAGCAAAAGAAAGUGGUCUAAUGAUAUUUAAUAGGUCGGCUACUAACCAGCCAACUUAUUGAAUGUUGACUGGGACUCUUAUAUAGGUCUAUGUUGACUGAAUAUUAGAAGAAGUGAUGAUAUAUAAGCAUGUUGCCCUAAAACAUGAUCGACUUAUAGGAUAUAUAGUUUGUUAUGCCAAUGAAAGCUUUGAUGCCAACAAUGUUAGUUCAAGAACACAAAGAUAAAACAAUCACACAUACGGUACACGAGGUUUUAACGUGGUUCAGCCAACUAUGCCUACGUCCACAGAUAAGAGAGAAUAAUUCCACUAUACAAUAGAGAAUAUUACAGAGGACAUAAUCAAAUACAACUAUUGGGUUCCCGAAACAUCACAUAUUUCCCCACUCUUUGUAUCUAUACCCUACUACGAGCCAUCUCGCUCCACAGAGUACCUCCCAUUCUUCCUCACAUCUCUAUCCACCUCGUAUAGUUUUUAUAAGCCCAUUUCCAUCUCAUAACUUUUCCCCCUCAUGACCUAGAAUAUUUAUAGAGAUAUUUCCAACAACCUUCCUUAUUCUAUAAGGAAGUCUAUAUUACAAUAAUAUAUCAACCUAGAAGUAUUCUAUAUAAUAUUCUUUAUAAAAAAAGAAUCUAUACUAAUUAGGAAUUUGGGACACGUCCUAACAAUCUCCACCUUGGACCAAAUUCCAUGAAGUUAAUCUCCAAUCUCUCCAUGACACAAAUCUUUUUGUAUCGUAUCACCACGAAAGAGCAAUCGACUCCACCUUCAGUGAAAAUUCCUUUUGUUUUCAUCUUGUGUGCUUUGUGAUCUUUUACUCUUCCAGAAAUCUCAACCCAAGCUCUGAUACCAGUUGAAGGGAAUUAAGUCGAAUUCUCAACCUGUUUUCCCACAGUUCCAGCAUUAUACUUGUUGGCCUGAUUUAGAUUUGCUUCUGUUCUGAUUAGAAUUUCUGGAUUUUGAUCUACCCCAGUUUGAAUUUCUGUCAUUACCUCUGCUUCUUGUCUCAAGGUUUAGGGCAGAACCAAAUCCUGAGGUUUCGCCUGCAUCUCUUCGGCGAAUCUCCUCAGCCAGAAUUAAAUCUCGUAUAUCAUUGUACUUGAGCUUUUCCUUUCCCAUAGAAUUGCUUACUGUCAUCCUCAUUGUCUCCCAACUAUUUGGCAAAGAAGCUAAGACGAUCAGAGCACGAAUCUCAUCAUCAAAAUCAAUUUCUACAUACGACAAUUGAUUUGUAAUUGUAUUAAAUUCAUUCAGAUGUUGUGCUAUUGAUGCAUUUUCUGUCAUCUUCAAAUUGAACAAUUUCUUCAUCAGAUGCACCUUAUUGUUUUCGGACGGCUUUUCAUACAUACCGGACAAAGCCUUCAUCAGAUCUGUUGUGGUCUUCUCUUUUACAACAUUGUGUGCAACAGACCUAGACAAAGUUAACCUAAUAACUCCUAGAACCUAUAUGUCAAGAAGCACCCAUUCCUUAACCUUCAUACUCUCAGGUUUUGUCCCCAAAAGAGGCAGAUGCAAUUUCUUCUCAUAGAGAUAAUCUUCAAUCUGCAUCCUCUAAUACGCAAAGUCUGUGCCAUCAAACUUUUCUAUUCUAGAUGUCUUUCCUGCUUCCUCUGCCAUUGCUCCCACUCAAACCUAAUCCUAGGCUCUGAUACCAGUUGAAGGGAAUUAAGCCGAAUUCCCAACCUGUGAGAAACAAAAAAAAAUAGAGAAAACACACGCCAAAGAAAAACAAUCAACGCACAAGAAAGUCUACGUCCAUGAAGUUGCAGGGAUAUCACUAUUAUCAGGGAAAAAUCCAGAGUACAACAAUUGCGGCUACAAUAUUUUCUCUCUAUAUAUAACACAACAACUACACCACACUAAAAAACCCUAAUUACAAAAGAUGGUUCCACAAUGGGCUAAGCGGGCCCAAAAGCCCAAGCCUUCGCUCCAUGGACUAAGACUCAGUAAAUCUCCCAUUAAAAAACCACGUAAUAUUAUUCGAGUCGGGUCGCCAAACCGGAUCAAACAAAACUAGGCUCCACAAAGCCUGACAUAAACACACAAAGGCAACUACAAUAAUAUUAUACAACAAAUUUUUAACAAAAUCUACUUCAAUUUGAACCUCUCUCCCUUGAGUGUUUCCAUGGUUAAGAACUAGCUACUUGUAUCUCAUACUUGGCCAUGAUUGGUGUGGUUUCCUUGUACCAAAUUGAAUUGGGUUCUUCACUUGUUGCAUAGCUUGAACUUGUACCGGUUUCAUUUGCCUGCUAGAACAUGUUCAUCCCUAUUGAGUACAGAUAAUGAAAUGGUUUUGGCGGGGGCAUGACUUCUACUCCUUCCUCCAACAUCUUUACCAUAGUACUCAUCGGAGGCCUCGAGUCGGGUGAGUCCUGGACACACUAUAGAGCCACCAUAGACAUUCUCUCUGUUUUCUCCCUGUUCUUCUCUUCAAUUCCACAGGCCACAGUCAUUGCUGCUAAAUUCCCUUUCUCAUACUCUUCCCAAACAUGUUUGAAGAACCAAUCCAUGCUAUCAUUAGAACCGACUUUGGCAUUCCUUCUUCUCCCAACUAUCUCAAACAACAACAUCCCAAAGCUAAAAACAUCACAUUUAUUGGUUAUGGGAAGGUUUUUCAGUAAAAAUUCUGGUGCUGAGUAGCCUGGAGUCCCUCUAUAUCCCGAGACUGUCAGGUGAGUGUUGUCCCUGUUACAAAGCUUAGCAAGCCCAAAGUCUGCAACCUUAGGAAAGAAGUUAGCAUCAAGGAGAACGUUACCGGGUUUUAUGUCAUAGUGAGUGAUUCUUUGUACACAUUCUUCAUAUAAGUAAGCUAUGCCCUUUGUUGUCCUAACUGUUAUAUGAUGCAGCUUCUCCCACUCGAUUUCUCUUGCCUCGCUGAAUAAGUACUUGUCUAGGGAUUCGUUUUCCAGGUAUUUGUAGACAAGUGCGCUCAUGAACUGAUCAUAGCAGAAACCAUAGAGCCUGACUAGAUUGAUAUGGUAAGUUCUGCCUAUGGUUCCCACCUCUGCCAUGAACUGUUCUUCAGUUUGUCUGUCCGAAUUCCUAUUCAGGACCUUCACUGCAAUCUUGACCCCAUUGGGGAACUGCCCCUUGUAAACCAUUCCAAACCCUCCAGAACCCAGUGUCGUGGUGUAGUUAGCAGUGAAGCUGCAUAGCUACAGAGCAGUGAACCUGACCGGCUUCUCCCUCGCUAAUUCUUGGAAGAACUUCUCCAUUGUUGGUGCAUCAACCUCCCAAACCUGUAUCAUAUUAGCAGGUGGGGGAGCCACUACCACUUGCAAUUCUUGCACAAUCGCAUUCUUUGCUUUCCUUGCACAUACGAUAGAGAUAACAACGAUUAUUCCAACGAUCGCCAAGCUCAACACAAAGGCUGCAGGUCAUGGGCGUUUGAACCAGUAAGAUCCCAACUUCAAUAUGUUGUCUGUCAAUAUAUAAUUCCUUCAUACGUUUCUCACAUAAAGAACUUACCUCCUCCUGCUGAAAGCCUAGAGUGGUUGCCUGUUGAAGGAGAGUUGUUAUUGGAAGACAUCUACAAAGACAGCAAACUGGACUAGGUCAGAUAAGACUAGAAUUCGCUAUUCAGUAAGUGUUUAUAUGGAUUUUGCUUACAAAUCCCCUGGGCAACUUGCCUUAGUGAGCGUGUUAAUUAACAGAAAUUUUCUUCAUUGGUUCAAGGUUUUGUGCAUUGCAGGCUUGUUAUAUCAUACAUGAACCUUCAACAUACUAAGAACAAUCAGGUUAUUGAACUCACCCUCUUUGGAAGAUCACUCCUUGCUUUUCACCACCAAUGCACCACAACUUCUCUUCGCUCUUUGCUUCCCCCCACUGCCUUGACCUGAAAAUUCACCAAAGUUUCUUCACUCUUGAAUCAUAAUUCUGCAAUGGGUGUGAAGGGAAGAAGUUUUUGGGAAAUUUAUGUCACAUCUUUGCCGACUAACUUGAUCAAAAUUCUAUGGUACCCAUGACCAAAGUUAGAUUUUUGACCGUUGAUCUAGAUUGUACAUAUGAAAAGGGAAAAACUUGCGUGUAAUUAGUUUCUUGUUAAGUGAAUUCUCAAGGUUGGUAAGUGUAUUAUUUAAAAUGAUGAUCUAAUGAUAAUUAAGUAAUGAUAUUUUAUAUUAUUAAAUAUAUAAUUUAUAAUAAAUAAAUAUAAUAUAUUAUCUGUUAUUUAAGUAAUGAAUGUCACCACAUUAAUUAUAAUAAAUGUUAAUUAAGUGUUAUUUAUGAUUUCCAUUAAUACUCAUUAAUGGAAACCAUUAAUGUUAUUUAUAAGUUCCAUUAAUAUUCAUUAAUAGGAAUAUUAAUGGAAGCCAUUUGGAAAGCCUAUAAAAGGGCUUCCCAUCCCUUGUAAUAUGUAUCCUUAAGGAAGAAAGAAAUUUCUUACUUUCUCUCAUUCUCUCUGUUUUUCAUUCUUUCAACUUUCUUAUCUGAUUUCUUCUUCCUUAUUAUAUAUCAAAGUAAGAUAUAUUUCAUCUCUACUGCUUUGAUUUGCAUUGUAUUUGUCCUUAUUUUAUAACACGUUAUCAGCACGAAUUGCUCUGAAGGUAAUUCUUGUAUCUUAAACUUGAAGUUAUUUUUAUAGAAUAAAAUUUUACAUAUUUAUAUUAUUGUUAAUUUGUUUUGUUACAUAUUGUUAAAAGUUAUAAACAAAUUAUUUGAUUUUGUUUAUAAUCAAAGUUAUACUAAUGUUAUCAAGUUAUUAUAAUUGAUUCUAAUAAUAUUGUUUUGUCAUAUAUAUGAAGUUAUUUGACAAUGUCGAAUAUCACAAAACUCGAAUUUGUGGCACUUGACAUUUCGGAAAAUAACUAUCUAUCUUGGAUCCUUGAUGCUGAAUUACAUCUUGAUGCAAUGAACCUUAGAGCUACGAUCAAACAAGGAAAUCAAACAUCCCUACAGGAUCGCACAAAAGCAUUGAUUUUCCUUCGCCAUCACCUCAAUGAAGGUUUAAAAAAUGAGUAUCUUACGGUAAAGGACCCUUUUACUCCAUGGAGUAAUUUGAAGGAAAGAUAUGACCACCAUAAAACUGUGAUUCUCCCAAAAGCUCGAUAUGAUUGGAUGCACCUAAGGUUGCAAGAUUUUAAAACUGUUAGUGAAUACAACUCCGUACUUUUCAAAAUCAGCUCUCAAUUAAAACUGUGUGGAGAAAAAAUCACAGAAGAAGACAUGUUAGAGAAAACUUUUACUACGUUUCAUGCCUUGAAUGUGCUCCUACAGUAGCAAUAUCGAGAACGUAGAUUUACAAAAUAUUCUAAAUUAAUAUCAUGUCUUCUUGUUGUUGAACAAAAUAAUGAGCUUUUGAUGAGAAAUCACCAGUCUCGUCUAAUUGGAUCUAAACCAUUCCCUAAAGUGAAUGCAAUAUCGUCCCAAACUCGUGGAUGUGGACAAGAACGAGGACGUGGUCAUGGUCGUGGAAGAAAUCCCCGAUACCAUGGUUCUUAUAGUAAUAAUUCUCAGAAAAUGAAAGCCCCAUUGGACCACCAGAAAUGGAACAAUACUGAGACAAAACAAGAAAAUGGGAAGCAUUUACAAGAUAAACCUCCUAAGAACCAUGAGAAUAACUGUUAUAGAUGUGGUAUGAAGGGGCAUUGGUUGCGUACCUACCGUACACCCAAACAUUUGGUCGACCUUUACCAAGCAUCAAUAAAAACAAAAGGAAAAGAGAUAGAGAUGAACUUUACCAAUGGUGAUGGAUUUAACCUAACCUACUAUGAUAUUGAUUUCUUUGGAGGUCCCAAUGAAAAAACAGAUCAUUUGAUAAAUGAUGAGAAAAUUAACAUUGAUUGAUGUUACUUUAUAUAUGAAAUAAUAUAUUAUUUUGUCUUAUAUUUACAUCUAAUUUUCUUUGUUAUUUACAUUAUGCCUUGUUUUUUUUGUUAUAUCUGAAAUCCAUGUGUUAUUUGGUCUCAAGAUGAAUGAGGAUGAUGUAUGUCUCGUAGACUGUGUGACCACGCACACAAUUCUUCGAGAUAAAAUAUAUUUCCUCAAAUUGACAUUAAUAAAAGCUAAUGUAAGUACCAUAUCUGGUACUACAAACUUAGUUGAAGGCUCUGGAAGAGCAAACAUAACGUUGUCAAAUGGAACUAGAUUCCAUAUAAAUGACGCUUUAUAUUUUAGAAAAUCUAGAAGAAAUUUGCUCAGUUUUAAAGAUAUUCGCAAAAAUGGAUAUCAUAUUGAAACUAUGAAUGAAGAUAAUGUAGAAUAUCUUUACAUUACUUCCAUUAUAUCUGGCCAGAAGCUUAUAAUGGAAAAAAUCACGGCUUUCUUUUCUAGGUUGUAUCAUACAACUAUAAAGCCUAUUGAAUCAUAUGUUGUCGUGAACCAAAAGUUCAACGACCUAAAAGUUUUUAUCCUUUGGCAUGACAGGCUAGGUCACCCAGAGUCUUCAAUGAUGCGUCGAAUAAUCGAACACUCACAUGGGCACCCCCUAAAGAACCUGAAGAUUCUUUCGCCCAAUGAAUACUCAUGUGAUGCCUGCUCACAAGGUAAAUUGAUAAUCAGACCAUCUUUUACUAAAGUCAUAUCUGAGUCACCAGUCUUUCUAGAAAGAAUACAUGGGGACAUAUGUGGGUCUAUCCAUCCACCAUGUGGACCAUUCCAUUAUUUUAUGAUCUUAAUAGAUGCUUCUACUAGGUGGUCACAUGUUUGUCUCCUUUCUACACAUAACGUUGCCUUUGCUAGACUCCUUGCACAAAUAAUCAGAUUACAAGCACAAUUUCCAGAUUAUCCAAUUAAGACAAUACGUCUUGAUAAUGCUGGCGAAUUUACUUCUCAAACAUUCAUUGACUAUUGCAUGUCAGUAUGGAUAAAUUUUGAGCAUCCUAUUGCUCAUACUCAUACCCAAAAUGAUUUAGCAGAAUCCUUUAUCAAACGUCUCCAAUUAAUAGCUCGGCCAUUACUAAUGAAAACCAAAUUGCCUACUUCCACUUGGGGACAUGCUAUUAUGCAUGCUGCAGCUUUAGCCCGUAUUCGACCUAGAACUUACCAUGAAUACUCCCCUUCACAACUUGUGCUUGGAAAACAACCAAAUAUCUCUCACUUAUGAAUCUUUGGUUGUGCAGUAUAUGUACCAAUUGCACCUACACAACGCACUAAAAUGGGUCCUCAACGAAGACUUGGGAUUAUGUAGGUUUUGAUUUUCCAUCUAUCAUAAGAUAUCUUGAACCUUUGACAGACGAUGUUUUUACAGUCCCGCUUUGCGGAUUGUCAUUUUAAUGAGAGUAUUUUCCCAUCAUUAGGGGGAGAAAAGUCGAUUCUUGAAGAACAACGAGAAAUUAGUUAGAAUCAUCUACUAUGACCCAUCUUGAUCCUCAUACAAAUCAAUGUGAACUAGAAGUUCAAAGGAUCAUUCAUUUUCAAAAUCUUGCAAAUAAAUUACCAGAUGCAUUCAUUGAUACAAAGAAAGUGACAAAGUCACAUAUCCCGGCUGCAAAUACUCCAGCACGGAUUGAUGUCCCUGUAGGACAGUUAACAAAUGAUUCUAAGAUACGCUUGAAGCGUGGUAGACCUGUCGGCUCAAAUGAUGUAACUCCUCUGAAGAGAAGAACCCAAGAAAAACUUGGCACUCUAAAAGAGACCAUCAAAAUGACUGAUCAGUUUAAAAUUGAUAAAUCUAUAGCCCUAGAAGAUGCGCAAAUAAUGCAGAAAGCCCUCGAAAAGGCACAUAUUGAACAAGAAGCCCAUGUUGAGCCACAUAUUGAACGAGAAGCCCCUGAAGAGGCACAGGUACCUGAAAAUUGUGAGAUCUCGGUAAGUUAUGUACACACGGGAGAAAAAUAGGAUCGAAAUAAUAUUGUUAUUAACAAUAUUUUUGCUUUCCAAGUGGCCUCUAAAGUCAUAAGAAAUGACGAAGAUCUCGAACCACAAAAUAUGGAAGAAUGUCGAUGUAGAAAUGAUUGGCCAAAAUGGAAAGAAGGUAUAUAGGCAGAGUUAAAUUCAUUAAAAAAACGACAAAUUUUUGGACCUGUAGUCCAAACACCUGAAGAUGUAAAGCCUGUUGGGUACAAAUGGGCAUUUGUACGAAAGCGCAAUGAGAAAAAUGAUAUCAUAAGAUAUAAAGCGCGAUUAGUAGCACAAGGUUUCUCGCAGAGACCUGGUAUUGACUACGAGAAAACAUAUUCUCCCGUCAUGGACGUAAUCACAUUUCGUUUCUUAAUUAGUUUGGCAGUCUUAAAAGGACUGGAUAUGCGUCUCAUGGAUGUUAUUACAACAUAUUUAUACGGAUCCAUGGAUAAUGAUAUAUACAUGAAAAUCUCUGAAGAAUUUAAAUUGCCUAGAGCAAAUAGUAUAAAGCCUCGUAGCAUGUACUCAAUCAAGUUACAGCAAUCCUUGUAUGGAUUAAAGCAAUCUGGACGCAUGUGGUACAAUUGCCUUAGUGAAUACUUACUAAAAGAAGGGUAUGUGAAUAACCCUAUAUGCCCAUGCAUCUUCAUUAAGAAAUCAGAAAUCAGAUUUGCAAUUAUUGCAGUGCAUGCUGAUGACUUAAAUCUUGUUGGAACUCCUGAAGGGCUCACAAGAACAACAAAUUACUUGAAAAAUGAAUUUGAGAUGAAAUAUCUUGGAAAAACAAAAUUUUGUCUCGACCUGCAAAUCGAGUAUUUUCCAAAUGGAGUUUUAGUACAUCAAUCAACAUACAUUAAGAAAGUUUUGAAGCGUUUUUAUAUGGAUAAAGCGCAUCAUUUAAGUUCUCCAAUGGUUGUCCUAUCACUUGAUGUGAAAAAAUACCCAUUUCGUCCUUGUGAAAAAUAUGAAGAGUUAUUUGGUCCUGAAGUACCAUAUCUUAGUGCUAUUGGUGCACUUAUGUAUCUUGCCAAUUGUACACGUCCAGACAUUACUUUUUCUGUCAAUUUAUUAGCAAGAUACAGUUCCGCUCCAACUUGAAGACAUUGGAAUGGUAUUAAACAUAUAUUGCGUUAUCUUCGCGGAACUACUGAUAUGAGUUUAUUUUACUCAAGGGAAUCAAAGCAACAAUUGCUUGAAUAUGCAGAUGCAAGAUAUAUUUCAUAUCCACAUAAAGGUAGGUCACAAACAGGGUAUGUGUUUAAUUGCAAUGGUACUGCUAUUUCAUGGAGAUCUGUCAAACAAACAAUGGUGGUCACAUCAUCAAAUCAUUCAUAAAUAUUGGCUUCAUGAAGCAAGUCAUGAAUGUAUAUGGCUAAGAUCUAUGAUCCAACAUAUUCAAGAAUCAUGUGGACUCUCCUCUAUCAAAGGUGACCCGACAAUAUUAUUUGAAGAUAAUGUUGCAUGCAUUGCACAAAUAACAGGGGGUUAUAUUAAAGGAGAUAGAACUAAACACAUUUUACCAAAAUUCUUUUAUACUCAUGAACUCUGAAAGAGUGGUGAAAUUGAUGUGCAACAAAUACGCUCAAGUGAUAAUCUAGCAAAUUUAUUCACAAAAUCAUUGUCAACCUCAACAUUCAAGAAGUUAAUACACAGGAUUGGAAUGCGUCAACUCAAGGAUAUCGACAUGAGGGGGAGUAAGCUUGUAAAAGGGUGUUAGUGUACUGUACUCUUUUUUCCUUCGUCCAGGUUUUAUCCUACUGGGUUUUACUGGCAAGGUUUUUAAUGAAGCAGUCCUAACAUACCAAGAGCAACUUAAAGAAUUAUAAGAAUGUUGCAUUCUUUUUCCUUCGCUAGGUUUUUCCCAUAGGGUUUUUUACUAGCAAGGUUUUAAUGAGGCAUAUUCUUCAAUGUGGUGGACAUCCAAUGAGGAGUGUUAUAACUGAAGUAAUGAAUGUCACCACAUUAAUUAUAAUAAAUGUUAAUUAAGUGUUAUUUAUGAGUUCCAUUAAUAUUCAUUAAUGGGAAUAUUAAUGGAAGUCAUUUGGAAAACCUAUAAAAGGGUUUCCCAUCCCCUGUAAUAUGUAUCCUUAAGUAAGAAAGAAAUUUUUUACUUUCUCUCAUUUUCUCUGUUUUUCAUUCUCUCAAUUUUCUCAACUUUCUUAUCUGAUUUCUUCUUUCCUAUUAUAUAUCAAAGUAAGAUAUAUUUCAUCUCUACUACUUUGAUUUGCAUUGUAUUUUUCCUUGUUUUACAACAUUAUCUUUUUUUUUUUUAAUUUAAAAAUAUAUAUAUAUAAUAAUAAUUUUAUUUUUUUAAUCAAUCAUUUAAUAAAAAAUGAAUUAUCAUGAACUAAGUAAGUUGAGUUUAUUUUGAAUUUUAAUUUUACAAUAUUAGAUAACUAAAAAAAAUCAAUUUCAAUAUAAAUCAAUUAAAAAUGGAUUUUAAUUUAAUGUAAUUCUCAUAAAUAAAUUAAAAUAGAAUUUUCAUUUAAAUAUUUAUUUUUUUACAUGACACUACUAAGAAUACAAAAAUUUAAUUUAAAAAAGAUAAAUUUUACAAUAAAAUUAUUUAAUAACAAGACUCUCUAUUUUAUAAAAUGGAUAAAUAUGGGAAAAAAAGUUAUGAAAAUUUUAAAAUAAAUUUAUUAAAUGUGAAAUUUAUAAAUCAAAUAUUUUAUAAUUUUGAUUUUAUUGUAUUAAGGAUUUAAUAACAAAAGGAUUUAAUAAUAAAAGAAUUUAAUUUAAAAUAAGUGUUUUAAUUUUUUUUAAAUUUGUAUUUAUUAUAAGACUCGUUCAAUAAUAUAAAUAGUGUUUUAUAAAAUAAAAAUAAAAAAGUUUUAAAUUGAAUAAAAAAAAUUAUAGAAAUUUGUAAUUCAUUGAUCAUAUUUUAUUAUAAGUAGUUAAUCAAGUCUUUAUUGUUAAGUGUAUUUAGUAACUUUAUGUGGAACUUCUAGUUGGGUGAGUUGGUUGGAUCCAUAGCUAACUCAAGUCUAAUCUAACUAAAUCUCUUUUUUUUUUUUCGAAAUUUGUAUUAGUCAAGUUAAACUUGAGUUGACCAAACUUUGACCUUGCAUGGACUAUUCGUAAGACUCAAUUUUUAGAUUGUGAUCAUAUUGAUAAUAAAAUAUUUCAUUUCUCCUUAUGAAUUCUUUUUCUUUCCUUUCAUCCCUCUUAUUAUGAUGCAAUUGAAAUAUUAAUAAAAGAGCAAUCAAAAUAUUACAUUACUUAGUGAUAUUUGCUAUCAAUAUGUCUUUAAAAGAAUUUGAUAUUUUUAUAUCAUUUUAUCAUAUUUUUGUACAUGGGAUUAUAAAAUAUUAUUCAAAUUAUUUAUUUUUAACAUAUGAAAAUCAUAGGAAAGAAAUUAAAAAUAUAGGCAAAAUUGUUUAGCAUAUGACAAGUGAGCUUUUGAAUUUCACAUCUAAUCUCUUUAAAAGCUUUUUUAAAUGGGUUAUUUGAUUAAAAGAAUUAUUGAAAACCCAAUUUUGAAAAUCUAACCCCUCAUCACUUUUUGGCCUAAUUUUAUCAAAAAUACCCUCAAUUUUUUUUUUUAAUGAAAAUAACUCGUUCUUUUAAAACAUGCAUGUAAAUGUUUGAAAUUAUCAAGAGCAUUUAUGUCAAAAAUGGGUUAUUCUUCAAAUAAAAACAUAAGGGUUAAAUUCACAAAUAUAAAGAUUAUUUCAUUAUUUUUAACCCAUUAAUUCUUUUUAGAUUAGGAUACAAAAUAAGAUAUAUAUAUAUAUAUAUAUAUAUAUAUAUAUAUAUAUAUAUAUGAGCUCGUAGAUUUGUUGUACCAUAUCAUAUAUUUUCUCACAUUCUUUGUACAUGUCCUCGUAUGUUUUAUAUUUUUUUUUCACAUUCUUCCUCUUUUAUCACAUUUUUGUUUAUAAUAAAGAUAUGAUAAGAUAUAUUUGUUGUCAAAAGGUUUCAGGUUAUGAAAGUAUUUUACAUGUUUUUUUUUUUUUCAAAUUACAAGAGUAUGUAAGAAUUUUUUUUAUUUUACAUAGCUUUGAACUAUAAAAAUAUGUAAAUUAAUUAUUUUACAUAAUUUUAAGUUAUAAUAAUAUACAAAUUAUUUUUCAUACAACUUCAAACCACCAAAAUAAUUAUUCUAUAACUUCUAAUUAUAAAAAUAUAUAGAAAUAUAUAUAUAUAUAUAUAUAUUUUCUCUAGGCUCGGUUCAUCGUGAUAAACAAUAUUUUUAUAAUAUCAUAAAGUAAAACAAUUAUUAUAAACUCAAGAAACUAAUAUAAUAAAUAAACAACAUCUACUAAAUAAUAAAAAUGAAAGAAUAAAUUUGUUCGUCACUUCCGCCCACGAAUAAUUUUAUUAUAAUAAAAUAAAAUUUUUGCAUGCCAUUAAGCAAUGAUCUAUUCUCUAGGUUAUAUUAUGAAGUAAGUAUUAAUAGAAAUUUUUCUUAAAUCCUUCCUAUAAGAAAUUUUGUGUAUGGUAUCGGGUUGUACAAAAUUAAAAUAUCAAUAUUUUUAAGUUUCUUUUUUCGUAAUCUCGUAUUUACAGAGGUUGGAAAAAUCAGAAUUAAAACAUCGUCUGAGAUCACCGACUUAAGCCGCCGUCAUCGCUGUCUCCGAAUUUGCUUUUUCUAUAGGCGCCGUUGUCUAUACCUUCGAAAACUCGAUACGGAGAAAGUGAAGGAUGGCAACCCUAACUUGCAACGCAUGCAAUAAGGAGUUCAUCGGCGAAUCAGACCAGAAGCUCCAUUACAAAUCCGAUUGGCACCGCUACAAUCUCAAACGCAAGGUGUCUCUCUUCUAUUCUCUGCUUUCUAGGGUUUUUUUUCUUUUUCUUUCGAUAUAAUUUGAAUUUUGGGGCUCAUUCUGUAGCCUUAGGUGGAAACUAAAUUUUUUUAUUUUUGAGUACUCGAGCAUCGAAUUGCUGUUGAAAGCGAGGAAUAUGUUUUGGGAUUGCAUGGAUACUGGGUGUUUAGGUGUUUAGGGUUUCGGUUCGGCGGCUGGGAAAAGCUCGGGAAAGAUUAGAAAUUUUAGAUUAUGGAUAUUGAUUUUUUGGGUAUUCUGAACCCGAGAGAACAUAGACCUGGACUUGUUCAAGGACAUAUUUGAAAUUUUGUUCUGUUUUUAUGUAGUUCGAUUGGUAACCUGCGUAGAUCAGGAAAUUGGAGGAGCAGAUUUAGUUUUCGAUAUUUUUUUGAAAUUUUUGGAUGAUUAGUUUUGGGGUUUGAACGUGCUAGCUUUACUUAUUGAAAAUCUUGGUUUGAUGGAGAAUUCUGUACAAAAAUUUUUAUUUUUCAUUUUAUAUUAUUUUAUUUUUUUUGGCUCCUACUAUUAAGGUUUAUCAGCUCCUGGUAAUCAAGAAAUCCAAGAAUCAAGAUUUAAGAUUUCAUAUGAUGGAUGGGGGAAUUUUUAGUAGUUGUUUAAACUUCUGUUGUUCUGGAAUAUUAUUGUUUACCUUUUGUCUUUUUCAUUUAUUUUGCUUCUUUGUUUAUUGGUCUGCAUGAUAUUUCUUAUUUGUUCUUUCUAAAGGAAGAAUUACUACAGCCUGCAGGCAUGUCUAUAAAUUGUCAAGUAUACUUCUUUUGUUUAUACUGUUUGCUUUCUGAUAAAACUAGGAAAUUUUAAGGUUGUAUAUAGUCCGGGUUACCAACUACCCCCACCCCAACCCAGCAAAAGGAGGAAGAUGAAGGAAGAAAAUGCACAUGAAUUAUAGAAAAUAGUUGGAUUGAGCUCGAAUGAGGCCCUUAGGGGAGGUUUCCAUUCUUUGUUAUUUACUCCUGUUGUUUCCUAAACAACCAAGUGAAGUAUAAGGUUCCUUGUUUUUCUUGGGGGAACAAACUAUUGUAGACAAUGAGAUAAAUUUUUCUUAAAGCAAAUUGAAGAAAUAGCGGCUAAUCUUCCCACAAAGAGAUCCUUGUGGCUUUCUCUGAAUCCCUCUGAGAAUGAGGGAAAGGAAUUACUGAGAAUUAAGUAUGAACAGAUUCCAUCCUCAUGCUAGUGACCAUUGAGGGAAAGGAAGUACUGAGAAUUAAGUAUGAACAGACUCCAUCCUCAUGCUAGUGACCAUUAAAAAGGAGAUCUGAUGACUAUAUAACAAUAAGACUUAUUAAUGAUCUUGUUGAACAAAUAUAGGAUUUUGCAUUUUGUUCAUUUUGCAUGUGAUUGACGGAUUGAGUUGAAUUUUUUGUUUCUUAUUUUUAAAAAACUCAUUAGACUUGCACCUUUAGUUUUAGAUGAUUGUGUUGUGGUAUUAAGCAUCAGCCUUAACAAUCGAUAAGCUGUAUUCAAUUUGGUUUUGACAACAUAUGAAAAAAGUGAAAAUUGGAAGGAUGAUGCAUACUUUUGCUUCUCUUGUCAAUAAUUCUGAUGUGUGCAGAUAUCUUUUGUUAGUUAAAACCAUCAUUCUGGCAUGUCUCAAUAUUUCCAUUGUCAUUGCUCAAAACAAGAAACUUGACCAGAAUAGAUUGAAAACAGAAGUUGUUUUGGGUGCCUAAUGUUCUUGUGUAUCCAGCUUCCCUCCCCAACUAGAAGCUGAAAUUAGCACUGCCCAAAAAUUGGGAAAUUUUUUUUUAAUAAAAUAUCCAAUACUGAGAGUUUUUAUUUAUUUAUUCUGUACCUUUUUCAUCAGAUUGCUGGGGUUCCAGGGGUGACUGAAGCGUUAUAUCUAGCUAGACAGUCUUCCCUUGCUGAAGAGAAAAAUCGGUUAAAUGAGACCCCCAUGCUAUAUAGUUGCAGCCUUUGCGGCAAGGGAUACAGAAGUUCCAAGGCUCUUGGUCAGCAUCUUAAAUCACGAAGUCACAUCUUGCGGGCUUCCCAAAGAGCAAGUCAUCAAGAUGAAGAAACUACAAUAAUCAAGCCACUAACUCACCGCACUGCAAAUAAGCCUCCCCCACAAAGAGAGCCAGUCAAUGAAGAAAGUGAAGAUGAGUGGGAGGAAGUCAACCCAGAUGAAGAUUUGGUUGGUGAGGCCACUGAAUCCAUUACUCAAAUGAAUGUGAAUGAGCAUGCAUCAAAUGAUGACAUGGAUGAAAGUGAUGAUGACGAUGAUUUUGAGAUAAAAUUGGAUCCAACCUGUUGCUUCAUGUGUGACCAAGAGCAGAACACUAUAGAACGUUGUAUCGUUCACAUGCACAAGCAGCAUGGGUUCUUCAUUCCUGAUGUUGAGUAUCUGAAGGAUCCAAAAGGACUUCUUACUUAUCUUGGCCUUAAGGUAACGAGUUAUAAGCUUGUGCUCCAUUUUUUUCCUUCAUUUGUUUUUUCAAUUUCUCAGUUUUGGGCCAGUUACCCCUUUAAAACUUCCAUACAAAUGUUAUUUAAACUUUCUGUCUUCUCUAUAAUUUUUCAGGUGACAAGGGAUUUUAUGUGUCUGUAUUGCAAUGACGGAUGCCAUCCUUUCAACAGCUUGGAAGCGGUUAGGAAGCACAUGGUGGCAAAAAGUCACUGCAAAGUGCAUUAUGGUGAUGGUGGUGAUGAUGAGGAAGCAGAACUGGAAGAGUUCUAUGAUUAUAGUAGCAGGUCUGAUCCUGCUCAAUGACCUUGACUUGCUUAUUUCAUUAUUCAAACUGCCAAAAAAUACAAUUAUAUUCUUCUGUCAAUAUGUUGAUAGAUUUUAUAUUCACUAUCCCUCUCUUGGUAUAGUUAUGUGGAUGUCGAUGAGAAACAGCUCGUUGCAUCUGGUGACAUGAACAACACUGUUGAACUUGGAUGUGGUGGAUCAGAACUCAUCAUAACUAGAAGAACUGAUGGUGGAAUAUCAACCAAAUCACUUGGAUCCCGUGAAUUUCUGCGCUAUUAUCGCCAGAAGCCUCGCCCCUCGCCUAUGAAUGGUGCUGCCAUUACUGCUGCAUUGGCCUCUAGGUUUGUUUUCAUUUCCCCUGUUUCAGCUGUUUGUCUAUGGUUGGUUGGUUAUGAGGACUCACAAACCUAAACCCUUGCUUAUAAUUUUCAGGUAUAGAAGCAUGGGGCUGGCAACAGUGCAGUCAAGAGAGCAGAUAGUGAGGAUGAAGGUGAUGAAGCAGAUGAAUAAAUCCGGGGUAGAAGCCAUGCGCUCUAAGAUUGGUAUGAAGAGUAAUGUCAUCCGAAACCUCCCCAAUAAUGUCCCAUAUUAGUUUUAUACUGACCUUCCUGAAGAACAUGAAGAGCUAUUUAUUUUCUCCUCGAGUUAAAAUUAUUGCUUCUCAGAAUGAUUUUAAAGCACUGCUAUCAUUUGUUUAUGGAUUUUCCCCGAAGUACUUGAUAAUGCUAAAUCUUAAUGGUUUGAUAAAAUUUUAAUAUAUUCUUUCUUUUCCUUUUAAUUGGUUGGUUUGGUAAGGUUGGCUAAAGCACUUUGUCAUUAGACUAGGGCAACCUCAAUGAAACCCUUUCUAUUUAAAUAUUAGUACGUACAUACAUACAUACAUACAUACAUAUAUAUAUAUAUAUAUAUAUAUAUAUAUAUAUAUAUAUAUAUAUAUAUAUAUAUAUAUGCGUGUUUGGGGUAUACAGUAUGUGUUGUGGGGAGAUAUGGAUAUGGUGUAUGUGUGUGUGUGGAUAUGGCUUUUUGAUGCUUGUACUCUUCAAAGUGGGCUUGAAAUAUUCAACCCUCACCAAAAGUCAAGUUUGGAAACUAUACACCUAUAAGAUUUAUUCAACCCUUCUCCUUCACCCAAAGUGGAUCGAAGUUUGGUUGUCUUUCCCUCCCUCGAAUGGUGAAGUGAAAAAUAUCAUUUUCAUAUUAUUUGGGAUCCUCUCGAGACUUUUCCCUUUUUGAAGGCUUAUCUUAUUUUUCUUUCUUCCCUAUGUUAGAAGUGAAGAUCACCAACCUCAAAUUAUGAGAGAAUAACAUGAGAAGAGUUCUCUGACCCAGAAGCUGAAAAGCCUUGGUGAGAGAGCUCCUUGAAUGUUAAAAGCUUAGAUGCCUCUUUGUUAUUUGUUGUCAAAACCAGUUUUUUGAAAAUAUUCCCCACUAGAUCCUUUUACUUUCUCAACCAUGAUAACGUUUGAAUAAAACUCUCAUUUCAUAAGCCUCACAUAGUCACAUUACGUAACAUGACUCAUCCAUAUCUUAAACAAACAAAAAGGCCCCUGCUUUGAAAAACAAAUUUUUAUUGAAUGAAAAUUUGUAAAAUAAUCAAGCGUUUACUUCUGUCACUAAACGCAUUAAAUUAAAACACUAUUCCAAACAGGACUCUGCUGUGUUUCCAAUUGGAAAUAGAUGCUCACUUCAUGAAACAGGAGGCCAAUGUGGUACAAUUUUACACUGCCAUAAAAGCAUACUAACUGAGCAACUAAUCCAUAAGAAAAUACCCUAGCAAUGUAUUAGGAUUGGGUGGGUACAGCCUCUUUUGAGCCCCACAGGGACGUCAGAUGAUGGUGUUGUGACCAUUUCCAAACCAAACUUGUGUAAACAUACUUGUGGGUUUCCUCUCCUCAACCCCCCAGAACAAUGGCAGAUGGAAGAGACCAUACAGAAGAAUCUAAGCACAAUCCAUUCUUUUGUAAACAGCAGCAACCGCAAGGUAAAAUAGAAUAAACAGCACAUUACUGAUUGAUCCGAAUACAUUCAUACCCAGAUAUCAGUAAUGCAGUAAAACAAAAUAUGUCAGUCAUCAGUUGAAACCAGCAGGACUAUCCAGGUUAGUGAGAGUUUCAUCUCUUCAAGCUUCUAUUGAAAAAAGGGGCAAAAAAGAGCCUACUUAAUGUACUUGAUGAAAGACAAACUUAGACAACCAAACCGGUCACAGCAUAAUCACACUGCAUAGUGAAGGUGAGUUUGGAAGUCAUUUCUAACUGGCAAACCUAAUUACAAAGCAAGGAAAUUCCAUCGGGAUGUAGCUCUUACAUGCUUCAAUGACCUAAACAGUAACUCGAGCUGGAGAAAGCAUGAAAGAUGAUUUCCAUUUGCAGUGGAUCAUCGCCUUAAAAGCCUUUCUUUCUGUCUGCUGUUUCACUCCAUUUCUAUUAAAACACAGAGCAGACUUGAGGAGUUAUAUAACCAAAGCUUUAUGACAUGGGGGCAAACCCCUCUCACAACUCCUGCCUUGUACAGUUAUUUGUAAUUGGAUUUGAAAAAAGAUAUGAUUUGGUUCUUUGUACACUAAAAUAAAGCCAGAAUGAAAGAGAAUACAAAAGCUAUAUAUCCAUGCUAGUGCAUACCUAAUUGUCAUAGAAGCGAGAACGGCGUCUUCGAGAACUGUGAAAUACAAACAGUAGCCAGACCUAAGUGAUUUUGCAUUGAAUAAAUCAAAAGAAUACAGCCUUUAAAAAAAUUCAGAUGAAAAACCAUGACAGUUUCAGCACUAUAUUUUCUCAUGCGGUAACUUAAAUAGCUCCAUUCAUCAUCUACUACACGGAAUAUUAAUUGAAGAGAUAUUAAGACAAUGGAAAUUGAGGAGAUGUUUCAGAAAGGGUAGAACAGGCUGAGGUCUGCGAAAGAACAUAUGGAGAAAAGACAAAUUUGGAAUGUUGGAGUGGAGGGAGCCAUGGCUUCAUCCCAUAACAUUUCAAAUAGAUGCAUAAAUGGAAUUGCAGACAAACCUUUUAUGUUUCUUGUUAUUCAUGUAAAAACUUCUGAACAAGCAUAUUCACAUAAAAUGACUACCUAACACCCUUCCCAGUCCCACCAAGAAAAACGCUACUAAUAUAUUCAUUGGUCUUGAACUCUCAACCUUGCAUGAGAGUAUAGAACAGCAAAGCACACCAGACAUCAAUGGGCUAGAAGACUCAUGAUGUAGUGGGAACCUUAUACAUGGGAAAUAACAAACUUGCCAAAAUCAUGAACCACAUGUCAUAGAACUAAGGUCUGAAAUUCGUGAUCAACUAAACAUGGAGAGGCAUCUCAUGGAAAAGAAAGGGAGCAGAAUAAAAAAUUUAUACCGACCUGCGAUGUCCAGUGCUGCCCCUCGAUCCACUACUUGUACUCACUAACUCAUCAUCGGUCUCAUCGGCUCUAUACUCUGGAAAUUCAACAGAUGUCACAGAACCCUCAUCAGAAUUUGAAGUGUCAUAACUUGAACGCCGACUCCCUCUUCUGGCAUCACUGACUCUUGCCCUUCUUCUGUUUCUAGAAGCCCUAAAAUUAUCAAAUACCUGAUACAAAAUACAGGAUGUCCACCAGUUGCCUUCAUCCCCAGGAAAGUCCUCAAAUUCAUCUCCAGUUUCAUCAUCCCCAUAUUCAAUCACAUAGUCUCCCAAAACCACACCACGAGGGACUUCUGAAUGAAUGGUGCUCAAAACAUCUAUGAUUUCAGAGGAUUGCUGGAAAUUCUCCCAGUCAAGCUGCCUUGCAGGAUCAAUUUUUGAUGGACGAGCAUGAGGAUGCUCCAAUUGAGCAUGGUUCCGAAGUUCCAAAUAAGUUCCCAUAAAUGCACAUCGUUCCUCUGCACAACAACGCUUUUUCUCAUCCAGUUGUUCCCGGGCCUUAUCAACAACAAUCCACCCAGUAACUUCCCCUCUACACAAGGGGCAAGUUGGUCUGCAGCUGUCUUCAGACAACUGUUGGAUGUUUUCUGCGGAAGCAGCAGCAGCAGCAUCAGCAUCAGCAUCAGAUGUUGAAGGGGAUUUCAACUCAGAUGACAUCCCAUAUGCACUUUUGAAUCGUUCAAGACAAUUCGAGUGCAAGUGGUCUGUGUCACAAACAAAAGGACGGCAUCCUUUCUCAUAAGAUGAGCAUUGGAGAAGUACACCAUUAUGAGGGAAAUCCAAACAUAUAGGACAAGUCACAUCUUCCCAAUUGGUGUCCAACUGAACAUUGUCCAUGUUGAAAGUUUUGGGGUGAUCCAGCGUUCCAAAAAAAUAUUCAAAAGCCAUUAAGAAAAUAUUCACAAUAAAAUCCACAAGCACACAGUAUCCACCUUCCUCUCUGGGUCAGAAAUGCAGAAUAAACCAAAGAACACUAGGAGAAAAUACAAAGUACAAACCAACUAAGCAUGUUCAUUAAAAUCAAAUAGAACAAGCUCUUGAUCUAUUCAUAUCAUCCCAUCAUACAUAGCUGCACCUGUAAAAAGAAAAAGGACCAUUAAUAGAAAUCACAAGUAGAUGAAGGAAUGAGACCAUGCCAAAAAAUAGCAAUAUUUCUACAUUUUAGACAGACAACCGUAAUAGAAAAGAGGGCAACAAUGUCAAACUUCCAAUCAACUCUUUUUAUAGCAGCUGAAGGUCCGAUCUUGAUCUUUUUUAUGGCUGUUCACUCUUAUUUUAUCAAUAGAGCAGCAAAUCAGCUCAAAGAAAACACUGAGAUCAGAGAAGUAAUAGCCCCCACACCUCAAUGAAAUUCCAAAUAAAGAGAAAACAAAAACCUCUAAUUGGUAAGCCGCAGGCAAGAAGUGAUACCAAUCUGAGAAAAGACUCAAGAACCGAUUCUCCACAGCUAUUAAUGCCUCAAAUAGGCUGAAAUACCAUACCCACAAAAUCAAGCUUAACUGCAUGCAAUCUCUUUGAUUUUCUAAAAUAGAAGAAAACAAAACAAAAUGCAUACAAUAUUUUCCACAUAGAUAAAUUACAGUAGGCAACAAGCCACAGAUGAACCAUUGCUAAAACUUGAUUUGAAUUAACCCACAUUCAAUUGAGCAGAUAGACAGUCUAACAGAAAAGAGGACAUGCCAACAAAAUAGAAUAAAAACUAAAACAUAAAAAUAAAUAAAAAAUGCAUCGGUGGGAAGAUUGAGAUAGCACCGACUGAGGAUAACCCAAGGAAAAUUUGUCUUGGAUGAUUCUCGGCUCAGUGAGAAAGCGUGGUUUGAUAAAGUAGAAAGCAUCACAAAAAGGAAGUGGGUCAACAUAGAGAGAAGAAGACCAAGACACCCGUUAUUUAAUGGAAGAACGAACCCUAGAUAGAGCUUAAAUUGGAGAAUGAGACUCUUGAUAACUUUCCCAAUAAUAGGAAAACCCCUGAAAUGAAUUACCAUAAAGUUCAUCUAAACCACAAAUCAGAUGCUCCCAAUUCAACAAAAAGAAAAAUUGGCAGCUUUAUAAUUCCAAAAAUUGGCCGAAAAUCCUACAGUAAAUUGGAAAUUCAGUGAAAUUGUGCUAAAAUUUUGGGAUUAUCGAAAUUCAGCAUGCAAAGAAAUCAAUCUUGAUCCCCAGUAGCAAGCGGUUUGGAUGGCAAAAGCAAAAAUGAAAUUGACCAAACGGUUUUCGCUAAAGAAGAAUUAGUCAACACCCACUACAUAUCAAUCAACAAAUCAUCCAAUCAAACAGGCAAAGAUCGAUAAAAUCGUGACAACACCAAUCGGCAAUCAGAGAGAGGUCAGAGUACAAGGGCUCCCAACAACAAAUCAAAAGAUGAAUGAAACAAGCAAAAUGAUUACUGUAACAGAAGUUGAAGAGAAAUCAGAUCAAAAACAGAUGAAAAUGGAAAGGAGGGGUUUUGACUUUUACCUUCAGAGGGAGAGAGAGUGGUGGGUUCUGGGGAGGAUGAAGAGAGUACGGUGGGUGAUUGGGAAGAGAGAAGAGAGGAGAGAGAGAGAUGAGGUCUGUUUGGGAGUAGGUAGGGUCUGUACCAUGUCUCUGAGUCUCUCUUUUCCAAAAGAAGGAUAAAAAGGUAAAAGGAAAGAGCGAUCCCCAUCCUUUAAUGACCUAAAUGCCCUUUUCAUACAGUCACUUCCAUUUUUUUAUUUUUUAUUUUUUAUGAAUAAAUAAAUUUAUAUAGAAUUAAAAUAAUUAAAAUUUUUAUCUUCCCUGAAUAAAUAAAGUUAUAAAAAGGGAAAAAUUAUAUUUUAGAGCUUUUUAAUGACAUAUAAUAGACUUAAAAGAAAAAAAAAAGGAAAGAUACAUAAUUGGUCACAAAUCUAUAAAAAUGGACAUUAGAUAAAAAUACUAAAAUAGUCUUCAUACUUGAUAAAGGGUCUAACAGUAAAAUUGGAAUAAAUAUGUUUAAAAAAUAAAUGUUUAAUAAGAAUAUUAUAUAUAUAUAUUCUUUCCUUUUCAUAAAAAUAUAAAAUGACUCUCAAAAUAUUUAUUAGAAAAGAUAAAAAUAAAAUAUAUUUCUACACGCUCAUCUAAAAAUAAUUAUAAAAUAAAAACCUUUUAAAAAUAAUUCUAAAUUUUAUGCACUUUAUCUAUCAAAUAUUAACUCAAAAAUAAUACCUAAUAUGAUCGAUCACAAAAUGUAUAAAAUAUUAAUUAAUUUUAAAUAACUACUUAAAAUUUAUAUUUUAUAAAUUUGAAUUUGAAUUUAAAUUUUAUAAUUUUUUUUUCAUAUGGGCCUACAAAAAAACUAAAUUUUAUACGCUUAUCAAUCAAAUGUUAACUCAAAAGUAAUACCUAAUAUGAUGGAUAAAAAAUGUGUGAAAUAUUAAUUAUUUUUAAAUAACUAUUUAAAAUUUAUAUUUUAUAAAUUUGAAUUUAAAUUUUAUGAUUUUUUUUCAUAUGAACAUACUAAGAAACUAAGAUAAUUCAAUAUUUAUGUUGAAAUCUUGCUUUGCACCGCGUGGAUUUUGUCAUUAUUAUCAAUCAAUUAAAAAAUGAAACAUUAAAAAAAAAACAAAUUUCUUGACAAAAUUGGAUAUUUUGCGUUGAAAUUUUGUUUGACAAGACAUUAAUUUUUGUCAUUGUCAUCAAUUAGAAUUAGGAUUAUAACAACCAUGGUUUCGUCGUUACGAGGGAUGUUGCUUUCUAUAAAAAAAAAUAUAAUAAUAAUAAUAAUAAUAAUAAUAAUUUUAGGUCUCUAAUUUUUAUUCAGAAAUCUAUAAAAAUAAACAGUCAAAAAUAGUCUUCUUACAUGAUAAAAGAUAUUCAAUAAAAUUGGAAUAAAUAUGCCUACAAAAAUAAAUAUUUAAAAAAAUAUAAAUAUAUAUCAAUAGAUUUUUUUUUCCUUUUUACAUGUGGGUAUUCUUUUAUAUGGUUGAACCAAUUGAUUAAAAAUCUAAAAUAACUUACAAAAUAUUUAUUAGAGAAAAAAAUGAAAAAAAAAAAAAAGAUAUGGACUUAAUAUUCAAUUAAAAAAUUAAAUAAAUAUAUAAACACAAAACCAAAGACAGUUUAUUGAGAAUAAUUCAAUAUUUGUGUUGAAAUUUAAAGUUUCUUGACAAUAAUUUAAUAUUUUUGUUGAUUAUCAUUGAUUAGAAUGAGAAGCAUAAUAAUCGAGGUUUUUAGAAAUAUUGUUUGCUAUAAAAAAUUUUGAAAUUUUAAGUCUUUGCUUUUUAUCGUGUUUUAUAUAUUUAUUUUUUUAAAGGUUAUCUUCGUUUCUAUAUAUAAUAUAAACUAGAAUAAAAAGUGAGACGAUAUAUUUUAUCCUAACAAUUAUCAUAUUUUAUAUUCAACAUCGUUUGUGUAAGUAUCAAUUUUUAUUUAUUUGUGUAUAUUAUUCAUUUUGUUGAUUAAAAAAAAAAGGUUAAACUUACAAGAAAUUAACUAUAUAUAAUAUUAUAAAAUAAUACUAAUAUACGUUAUUAUUUAAUAUAAUAUUCGAUAUAUAUUUUCUACAUAUAGCAAUAUUUUUUAUUUAUGAAUUUAAAUAUUUUAAUCAUAAAUUUGUUUUCAUCCUAUUUUUUUACUCUUUUUACAAUCUAAAUAUAAGAUGAAAUAACAUAUCCAUUCCAAUAUAAUGCUUAUAAUAUCAUUUUAUUUGGAUAUGAUAUUCAAAUUGAAAUAUUUUAAGAAUUUUUUUUUAAAAAAAAAGGAGAAUGUUGUAAAAAAAGUAAUGAAAAAUAUAAAGAAUAGAUUAUAAAUUAUCUUCAGAGUUUCAGACAAAAAAUUUGUUCGUAAAAUGUUUUUAAAAAAUAGUUAUUAAAAUAUUGUCAAGACCCAAGUUUGUAGGAGGACAAUAAAUUUUCCUCCCCCUAGAGACCUGUUUGGAGUACCUGAAACAUAAGACACAGCGAUGCAGUUUCAUGGACAAUUAAGGAAUACAGAAGCUCCACUAAUGGCUGAACUGUUAGCUGUCCAAAAGCUCAAAAGGGGAAAAGAAGGCGAAGAAUAGACUAAUCUGGAAAAACCUAAAGGGAAGCUGAAGCUAUAAUUUUUUUUUUUGACAUCUCAAAGUUUUUCUGUAUCUGUUUGAAUCCCGGAAGAUUUUAUCAGCAUUUUAUAUAAAAACAGUUUCUAUACAGAGGAUAUAGCUUUAAUGUUUCAGCAUUUAACAUUUUCUUACUAGAAAUUGUAGAGGCUGACAGCAUCCAUCCAAUUGAGAUGAUGAAGCUCUCAUGUUAGCAGGAACCCAGAAGACAAUAAUCAUCUGUCUGAUAAGACUGAUGCACUCCAUGAAAGCAUGACAUCGCGGGCAACAGCAGGCAAGUCUGUAAAACCAAGGAUGGAAGAUUGAGGAUUAGAUCGGAUCAAUCUAUGAGUGAAGAUGUGAGGUUUAGAGGUUCAAUGAAAGUUUACCUCUUGCUACUUCCAGAGCAACUGAGGGUAUGUCUAUGUCUCCUUCCACCAAUCUAUACACAUCAACAAGCUAUGGAAGAAGGAUUGAUGUUUCAGCAAUCAUGUGAUGAAUGGUAUUAUGAACUUACAACGAUGGAUAAAGAAGAAGAGUUUUCAGAAAUUAUUAACCUCUUGGAUGUGAAGCUUGGAAUCUUCAGUCAAGGCAAGGAGAAGCUGGCGGCGGAUUCCUUCGUCGAUCAGGAAAAGGCGAGCUCCAUCCUUGAUCGUAUCUGUGAGGUCCAGUUUCCUUUCAACUUGCAGGUCUCUGGAGCUUUUUCUGGAAAAAGGGAACGGAUGUAAAUAUCGGUCGAUAUUACUCACAAGCAGGAUGGGAAACAAGAUGAGAGAGACAUGACAAGAUACAGACGUGUGCUUCACUUUUAAUGCAGGGUUGCUGCUCAUCUUGGCCACAUUUUCCUUUGCUAGAACAAUAAGGUUUUCAAGGCGUUUCCACUGGAAAACACCAUCUUUGAAAAGAACCUGAAACCCGAAUCAGAUCAUUGGGAAAGGAAAUGGUUUGAAAGAAUAUCCUUUGCCUUGUUACCAGGGCAAGUCAUGUGACAAAUGGAGUCAUUAAGAAUGGUUUUGGACAUACCUGUAUGAGGCGUUCACGUAGAGCAGGAUUUGGGUCUGUUAAAAGGCGCUUUGCCACAUAUGGAUAGGCAACCUAGAAGACUGCUUGUUAUCAAUGAAUGUGUUGUAAAGAAAACGAGAUGAUAUAUAAAUAUUAAAAGGAAAAGGCAUUCAGCUGUUGAAACAGUUCAAUUUCAAGGGUAACAAGGAAGCCGUUGUUUGUAAUUCAUAAACAGAGUCAUAUUGACUUGUACAGCUCUGUCCAAGCACGCAUUGACAAGAAGGUUUAAAAAUCUUUAUGAUGUACUAGGUCUACUCCACUUUGGCGUUUUUCUAUGAUAUAUUUAUCCAAAAAGAAGUAUCUUUAAGAAAUGUGAAUUAGCAUGCAUCACCAAGAACCAAACUAAGAUGAGCCCUAAGUAAUCAGAUAAUUAUAGUCAUUUGUUCAAUAGAAGGAAAAAAUGAUUUCUUCUGUCUUUUACGUUUUCUUCUUUUCAUCUUCUGAUGUAUAUGAAAUAAGAGAGCAUGGAAACUAUCCUAAGGUUUUCCAUAAGCUUUAGGUAGCUGCAUCCUCUGGAGGAUGAAUUUUUGCUCAGCCAGUGGCCUCAGAAUCACUACAGGGAUUGCAGCCUGACUGCAGUUGAACAAAGUUUGAGCUACAGAAAAUCUUGACAGGCUGAGACUGUCUCAAACCUUAAACAUAGUUGAGAGCCCAAGCUUACUGAAAAAAGAGGGGAAAAAAGAAUUAUGUGCAGACAAAACGAGUUAGGUGAUAUGAUUUUUAACCCGCUGUUUUGGUGCCCAUAUGCUGUGCAUAACCAGCAGAAUGACAAUCAAAUUCAAACUAGAAGGAAAACUAAUCAGUUCCAACCACAGUGCUUGAGAGGAUUACAGAUUAUACCACUACUGAUACCCUUGGCCCCUUCCUAGUAGUUCAGAAGUUUCAUCAUGCAAUUACCAUAAAUAAAAAAAUCCAAAAUAAAAUACAAUAUCAUAAUGAAAAAACAAGAAACAAAAACUGUUCACCUCAAGAAAUUUGAAAUCUGGUUUCAGUGUAAAACAGAUGCCCUCUUGAGUCAACAAAGAACGGAUGACGAGAGAAAACCUCUCUGGUAUACGAAUGGGAUAUUGGUAAACCAAUUGAUUGAACUUCCCUGCAGCAUGUACAGCACAAGUCUUAACUCUUAACUGGAUCCACAAUAUACAGUAGAAUUAACUCUUAACUUGAUUUAACUUGUGUUUUUGUUUUUUUUUUUUUUUGGGUCCAUUGCUAAUUUAUACCUACAACACAGCAUUUUGUUAGACAACUUAAGGAACAUACCUAGAUAAGCACCCUAAAUGAAUAGACCAUGAAAUAGAACAUAAACAAGAAUAGGAUAUGAAAUGCACCAGUAACACUUCGGAAAUUAAAGUCAGAGAGUCCUUUUCCAGAUGAGUUCUGCCAAAUUGCUUCUAGUGCUGGAAUAAUGGGGGCAACAUCAGUCCCACUAGCAAGGAAACCAAGCCUAGUAAAAUCAUUUGCCAUCUCAACAUAGUCCUCAUUUACAGCAUGGACAACCGCAUCUAUCAAAAUCUGUUUAUUUUGCUGGAAAAAAAAAAAAAGGAAUACGAAGGUAUAAGUUAUUGGGUAAACAUUCUUCUUCAUUCUAUGGGGUUUUUGUACAUGCUUUGUAAAGUUUUUUCCCCUUUUAAGUUCCAAGAUUUCUUGCCUGUUUAAUACUUGUUAUUUUUUCAAACAUUUCCUUCAACACCCUUGGUCAUAAUCAUUCUUGACUUUAUGAAAUUAUUGGCUCAAAAUUGUUCUUGUUUUUUCUGAUAGGUAUCCUUCUUUUUUUGUCUUUACUAGAAUUCAACCCUGGAAUCUCCCAUAUUUCCAACCCAACUCCUUGCUACUUGAACUAGGCAUCAAGGAUGUCCUAUGAACUCAUUUUGUUAAAAAAAUCAGCCAUUAGUAGAAGUCAUACCCUUGAACAGUAUGACUAUGAACAUAGAUUCGUUUUCACUUUUCACCGGGGAAAAUAUACCAAUUAGUUAGAUUUGUACUCCUUAUAUUAUUUACAAGUUUGUUCCACCUUCAAGGGUGACUAGUUUACCUUCCAUCCAUCUAUUUUCUUCCUUCAAACUUUUUGGAUGGACAGACAAUUCUUACUCCUACUUACCCUUUAGGGUUAUAUCUACAUGAAAAUAUUAUUGCUAAUGAGAAUCAAUGUCGGGCAGAGGGGCAGUUCCCUUUAUUUCACAUUUUGUUAUGUUCAAUUAUUUACCUUCUUGUUUGCACACUUUCUGGGGAGAGAGUUCGAGACAUAAAUAUGGUUUUAUUCCCUCUUCAUCUUCUAAUCUCCUUCUCAUCCUUUGUUAAUAUUGCUUAUGUUGACCACUCGAUUAUUCUGACAACUUUAUUAUCCAUUAAAAUCAGGGAGAGAGAGAGAGAAAGAGAGAAAUCAUCAAAGUGAUGAGUGCAGUAAAAAAAGACCUGUUUGAGAAAAAGUUCCAAUUUUGCAACACAGGCAGAUUUUCCUUAGUAUUGAAAAUCCAGUCAUUUGGUUUAUCUUCCUUUAAGCUAGAUACAUGUUUGACAUUGAACUUUUCCUGUGCAGUCUCAUCAAACAUAGCCCCCUCAUGUAGACUUGUGUGCAUAAGCAGAUGGGAAAAGAGACAAUCUAGAUGUACUGCCAAGUAAAUCCAGUUUUACUGUUCCUUAAGAAAAUAUCCAGAAAGGAGGAGAUGAUUCAUUCUAUAUCAAAGCUAAGAGCUAAUCAGGACAUAUCUACUUAUAGGAUAAUUCCCAUUGAAUAUCUUUGAAGCACAUAAGAUUCACCUGACUGAGCACAGCAACAUUACCAAAGUCCACAUACGCAAUACGUCCAUCACGCAUAGCAAAAAUAUUUCCAGGAUGUGGGUCUCCAUGGAAUAACCCAAAUUCUAGCAAUUGUCGCAAAGCAGCACUCACUCCAACUGUCAAAAAUCCAUUUACAUCAAUACCCGCUUCCUUAAUAGCCUGAAUAGAAUGGAAGAAAAAAAAAAGUGAGCUAUCUCUCGCAAUGUUGCAAUAGGAAAUUAAUAUAACACCAUACUAAUGGUCAUCAUCUAUCCCGACAUCCAAACCUGUGGAUCAGUGCACCGAAUACCAUCAAUCCAUUCCAUGACUAAAACACGUGAACCAGAAAGCUUUUUGUAAACCCGGGGGAUUUUGACAGUAGGAUCAUUUUUAAAGUUCUCCAGAAAAUCUUCAAGAUUACGAGCUUCCUGGUAAAGGAAAGAAAUGGAGUAAAAACCAAAACUACAAAAAAGUACCACAACAACUGCAAGGUAAUUUAAUUUCCAUGGAGGUCACAAAUAAGUUAAUGGACGUCAGUGUCAUACAGCUAAAAAGCAUCAAAUCCAAAUCUCCUAUCUGAUGCAGACACAUUCAUUUUUUUUUUCCUAUUCUCUACACACAAUUUUUUUUACUAUUUGCAAGGUAGAGGAGGCAGUUUCAGAAAGUACCAAGGUGUAAUCAAGCUCCUCCAAAAGCUUCUCACCAAAUUCAUCCACGAUCAGUUCAGCAUUGCAUCCCAGUUUCUGCAGACUGAUGCCAUUCAAGAAUGAAGCGAGAGUACGGAAGAGAAAGAGAUCCCGAUAGAUUAUAGGCUCUAUCCUUGGCCUUUGCACCUGUAGGCAUUAAAAUUAUUGUAUAGAUUAUGGUGUUUGAAUUAUUUUAUUUUAUUUUUUGGAGUUGCAAAAGCAACUUCUAUAAAGCUCAAAGUUAAAUUAAAAAAACAAACAUAUAUAGAUAUGCUUAAAUAUAAAAGAGGAGCCAGAAAUAGUGCUUUGAUAAGCAAAAGAACGUUUCACCAUUAAUAACUAGUUAACUAGAAAAGGACUAGAACAGAACAAACACAAAGCAUUCCAGUUCAGAACACAAAAGGAAAAUUAGGUUAAGUAUGUUAUUUUAUUUUGCAUUGAACUAGACAGCCAAGGACCGUCAAUCAUUGGACAGUCUGAGAUACCUGCUCUUUUUCCCCACCAAUACCUUUGCUGUUGAUAGAAAAUGGUGGUUGUAAGACAAAUAGGAGCAUUGGGAAAAACCAGUUUUUACAAAGACUGAUAUUUUGACAAAGACAUUGUAUAACAAGACCGAAUACUUCAAAAAAUUAAACUACUUUGCCACAUUUCAUGCUUCUUCUCUUUGAUAUAUACUGGUGAUGCCAUGACAUCAAAACUUGGCAACAAUUUUGUGCAUUUACGCCUAAAUGGAUUCCAUAAAAGUGUUUACAAGAAAAUAAGACAAACAUUGGACGGAUGUUAUGAUCAUAUUUUUAUCUCUAAAGAUUCAAUAUCCAAAUGGCUAAGAUAUUUAAAAUGUCAAUCACAGUAAACAACUUGCAUGUUGGGACACUCUUGAUUGACCUUUGUUUAGACACUUUUCCCAACUACACCUUUACUUCAAAAAUGUGCAGAAGAACAAGAAAAUAUGCCUUUUUAUUGUCAUAUCUAUUCAAAAACAUUACUCUACUCUUUACUAUUUUGUCCUAUUAGGUUCUUGGAAAAAUUCAAACAAAGAUAACACAUAUUUCAUAUGAUAAAUACGCAUGCAUGUGUAUAGCCAUGUCCCUUUGUCUUGAUCUGGAAGUUGCAUUUCCAACAUACUGUGUUUCAGCAACAUUGUGCUUGCACUGUAUCUAUAGAUCAUAGCCAAAAAACUUAAUCAUAUGAUUCCCAUGGGAACAUAAGGCAACAAGAAAAUUGAGAACUUUAAGAAAAGCAAGUCAAUCUAGCAAUGGAGAGCAGCAGUAUUAAGCAAAUGGAAAAAGUUCACAACUUUUGUGGGAGUGACACCCCACCACAAGGAUGAUAAAAGAAAUUGAUCACCAGAUGAAUCUUGUACAACCUUAAUAGCGACAUCCUCCCCUGAGUCACGCAAAGUAGCUCGGUAAACCUGACCCAAACUUGCAGCUGCUAUAGUCUGAGAAGAAAUUUUGCUGAAAAUUGCUUCAAGGGGUUGGCCUAAUUCCUCUUCAAUAAUGGCGAAAGCAACCUACAUCAUUGUCAAAACAUUCGCUGUCUAGGUGAAAGGAGUUCAGUUUCAGCAUGGCAAAAGAAAAAUGGCCCACUGUAAAAGUGCUAGGCUUCCAUUUAGAGCUGUUUUACCUGAUUAGGAAAAGGGGGAACAUCAUCUUGAAGAAUGCAGAGUUCAUUCAUAUAGUCUUCCCUAAUAAUAUCCGGUCUGUUAGCAAGAACCUGUUAACAUAAAGUAAGUGUACAAUCAAUACAACCAAGUGUUUCUGAUUAAAAAAGAAAAGACCAAAUGCUUAGCUAGACAACGUGAUUGUCUUUAAAUUUGUUAGCUAGUCGAGAAACUCCCAACCACUCUUCUAAAUUUGAUUUCAGAAAGACAACCUGAAUUCACUUGGGAUAAAACUCAGGCAGAAUGGCAACUCGGUUAAAAGAUGUUUAAUAGAUAGACACUUCAUUACUUAUCAAAAAAAAAAAAAAAUAGAUAAGACACUUCAUUCCUUUCUAUUAGGGUACAUACAUUUUACCACCAGUGAAUUGACUGGGGCCUUAACUCUAUAAUGAAAUUUAAAACCCAACACAUAACUUCUGGUGUUCCAAACUGAGAAAGCAAUCUUCCUUUGUCAACACAUCUUCAGUUAAAGCACAAAAAAGGAUUGCACGAGAAGUAUAAUUUUUGGUGAGAAAUUGAAAGUUUGAAAAAUGUUGCAGAGAACAGUGAACUAAUUACUUUGAUAAUGGAAGGCCGUUCAAGGGACUCUAGAUUCUUUAGGAAAUUUAAGUUAAAAUGAGUCAUUAAUUUUGGAGCAAGCUAUGAAAAAACAAUCCAUAAAUCAUAAAAGGUGAAAAUCCAGCAAAAAAUCCCCAAAUAUUAAGAAGAUCGGAAAUCUUAAUUUGUCAAAAAGUCCACCAUAAAUCAUUGCUUUGAAAUAGAAUGUCCACAUUCAGCCAAGCAAUUCACAAAUUCAAACCAUAACAAAAACUCACCAUGAUAGAAACGCGAUGGAUUCAAAAAACGACAAAGUAAGAGUUUAGGGCUAAAAUUUGACAAACCUGUCCGGCUUUGAUAAAGGAAGGCCCUAAAUCACACAGCAGAUUCCUCAGCUGCCGAGCUCGAUAAGGAACAACCUCUUCGUCCCGCCCCACCAAGCAAUCAUACAUCAAAGUCGACCAGUACAGCCCCAAAUUCCAAACUAUCUCCACACCGCGCCCAACCAGAGACAGAAUCUGCCCUCUAGAUUCCAACACCUUAUUCCUCACCUAACCGUAAACAACAAAAAUUCAAAUCCACACCAAAUUCAACACAAAAACAAACAAACAAACGAAUCAAAACACUUCCACCCAAAAAAACCCUACUGUCUCGGGAGUGUACUUGCGGAACGGAAAGCAAACUCCGCGCUCGAUGUCCAGCUGCUCCAUCGCACUACUCGAGCUGCCUACCUCCAAAUUCGCCCUCUCGCUACUCGUUCUCCUACUUGUAUAAUUGGAGGAAGUUGAAACGGCGGCAUUUGCUGCUGAAAUUCUGAGUCUUGGUUGAAGAACCGAAGAUGUGGAAGAAAAUUUUGCAGUGUAGUGGUUGUUGCAGAAGAAAUUGGAGGUGGAAAUGGUGGAGAUGGAAGCCAUGGAUGGAUUGGAGAAGAUCGAGCCCUAUAAAUUUUGGGGAGAGUGCGGGGUAGUACCGUAGUGGAAGGUUGGAGGAGAGUGGUUAUGCAAAAUUGGAAAUGCGGGGUUUUGAAAAACGGUUAGAUCUUUAUACAACCACACAAAUCGUGUCGAGGGUUGAGUAUUGGAAGUCUCUCACUGGAAGACUUGUAUGUGUACGGUAUUAAAUUAUGAAAUAUAUAUAUAUAUAUAUAUAUAUAUAUAUAUAUAUAUAUAUAUAUAUAUAUAUAUAUAUGUUGUAAAUUAAGGGAAAUGAAUGACCACAUUGAUGGUCAUUAUGAACUCCAUUUACUCAUCUUUAAGAUGAGUAAUGGGAGUUCAUAUUAUGAAGCCUAUAAAAGGCUUCUUACCCUCCCAUGUAAAAGCAUCCCGAGAAAGAAAGAAAGCUCUUCCUCUCAUUCUCUCUCUCUCUCUCUUUCACUUUCUCAAUUCUCUUAUUUGAUUCCUUCUUCCAUAUUAUAUAUCAAAGUAAGAUAUAUUUUAUCUCUAUUACUUUGAUUUGCAUUAUAUUUGUCCUUGUUUUAUAACACGUUAUCAGCACGAAUUGCUCUGAAGGUAAUUCUCAUAUCUUCACUUAAAGUUAUUUAUAUAGAAUAAAAUUUUACAUAUUUAUAUUAUUGUUGAUUUGUUUUGUUACAUAUUGUUAAAAGUUGUAAACAAAUUAUUUGAUUUUGUUUAUAAUCAAAGUUAUACCAAUGCUAUCAAGUUAUUAUAACUGAUUUUAAUAAUAUUGUUUUGUCAUAUAUAUGAAGUUAUUUGACAAUGUCGAAUAUCACAAAACUCGAAUUUGUGGCACUUGACAUUUCGGGAAAGAACUAUCUAUCUUGGAUCCUUGAUGCUGAAUUACAUCUUGAUGCAAUGAACCUUGGAGCUACGAUCAAACAAGGAAAUCAAGCAUCCCUGCAGGAUCGCGCAAAAGCAUUGAUUUUCCUUCGUCAUCACCUCCAUGAAGGUUUAAAAAAUGAGUAUCUUACGGUAAAGGACCCUUUUACUCUAUGGAGUAAUUUGAAGGAAAGAUAUGACCACCAGAAAACUGUGAUUCUCCCAAAAGCUCGAUAUGAUUGGAUGCACCUAAGGUUGCAAGAUUUUAAAACUGUUAGUGAAUACAACUCUGCACUUUUCAAAAUUAGCUCUCAAUUAAAGCUGUGUGGAGAAAAAAAUCAUAGAGGAAGACAUGUUAGAGAAAACUUUUACUACGUUUCAUGCCUCGAAUGUGCUCCUGCAGCAGCAAUAUCGAGAGCAUAGAUUUACAAAAUAUUCUGAAUUAAUAUCAUGUCUUCUUGUUGCUGAACAAAAUAAUGAGCUUUUGAUGAGAAAUCACCAGUCUCGUCCAACUGGAUCUGAACCAUUCCCUGAAGUGAAUGCAAUAUCGUCCCAAACUCGUGGACGUGGACGAGGACGAGGACGUGGUCGUGGUCGUGGAAGAAAUCCCCGAUACCAUGGUUCUUAUAGUAAUAAUUCUCAGAAAAUGAAAGCCUCAUUGCACCACCAGAAGUGGAACAAUACUGAGACAAUACAAGAAAAUGGGAAGCGUUUACAAGAUAAACCUCCUAAGAACCAUGAGAAUAAUUGUUAUAGAUGUGGUAUGAAGGGACAUUGGUCGCGUACCUGUCGUACACCCAAACAUUUGGUCGACCUUUACCAAGCAUCAAUAAAAGCUAAAGGAAAAGAGAUAGAGAUGAACUUUACCGAUGGUGAUGGAUUGGACCUAACCUACUAUGACAUUGAUUUCUUUGGAGGUCCCAAUGAAAAAAUAGACCAUUUGAUAAAUGAUGAAAAAAUUAGCAUUGAUUGAUGUUACUCGAUAUAUAAAAUAAUAUAUUAUUAUGUCUUAUAUUUACAUCUUAUUUACUUUGUUAUUUACAUUAUGCCUUGUUUUUUUUGUUAUAUCUGAAAUCCAUGUGUUAUUUGGUCUCAAGAUGAAUGAGGAUGAUGUAUGUCUCGCAGACUGUGCGACCACGCACACAAUUCUUCGAGAUAAAAGAUAUUUCCUCGAAUUGACAUUAAUAAAAGCUAAUGUAAGUACCAUAUCUGGUACUACAAACUUAGUUGAAGGCUCUGGAAGAGCAAACAUAACAUUGCCAAAUGGUACUAGAUUCCAUAUAAAUGACGCGUUAUAUUCUAGCAAAUCCAGAAGAAAUUUGCUCAGUUUUAAAGAUAUCCGCAGAAAUGGAUAUCAUAUUGAAACUAUGAAUGAAGAUAAUGUAGAAUAUCUUUAUAUUACUUCCAUUAUAUCUGGCCAGAAGCUUAUAAUGGAAAAACUCCCGGCUUUUUCCUCUGGGUUGUAUCAUACAACUAUAAAGCAUAUUGAAUCAUAUGUUGUCGUGAACCAGAAGUUCAACGACCCAAAAGUUUUUGUCCUUUGGCAUGACAGGCUAGGUCACCCAGGGUCUUCAAUGAUGCGUCGAAUAAUCGAACACUCACAUGGGCAUCCACUAAAGAACCAGAAGAUUCUUUCGCCCAAUGAAUACUCAUGUGCUGCCUGCUCACAAGGUAAAUUGAUAAUCAGACCAUCUUUUACUAAAGUCAUAUCUGAGUCACCAAUCUUUUUAGAAAGAAUACAUGGGGACAUAUGUGGGCCUAUCCAUCCACCAUGUGGACCAUUCCGUUAUUUUAUGAUCUUAAUAGAUGCUUCUACUAGGUGGUCACAUGUUUGUCUCCUUUCUACACGUAACGUAGCCUUUGCUAGACUCCUUACACAAAUAAUCAGAUUACGAGCACAAUUUCCAGAUUAUCCAAUUAAGACAAUACGUCUUGAUAAUGCUGGUGAAUUUACUUCUCAAACAUUCAUUGACUAUUGCAUGUCAGUAGGGAUAAAUAUUGAGCAUCCUGUUGCUCAUACCCAUACCCAGAAUGGUUUAGCAGAAUCCUUCAUCAAACGUCUCCAAUUAAUAGCUCGACCAUUACUAAUGAAAACCAAAUUACCUACUUCCGCCUGGGGACAUGCUAUUAUGCAUGCUGCAGCUUUAGUCCGUAUCCGACCUACAACUUACCAUGAAUACUCCCUUUCACAACUUGUGCUUGGAAAACAACCAAAUAUCUCUCACUUACGAAUCUUUGGUUGUGCAGUAUAUGUACCAAUUGCACCUACACAACGCACUAAAAUGGGUCCCCAACGAAGACUUGGGGUUUAUGUAGGUUUUGAUUCUCCAUCUAUCAUAAGAUAUCUUGAACCUUUGACAGGCGAUGUUUUUACAGCCCGCUUUGCGGAUUGUCAUUUUAAUGAGAGUGUUUUCCCAUCAUUAGGGAGAGAAAAGUCGAUUCCUGAAGAACGACGAGAAAUUAGUUGGAAGACAUCUACUAUGACCCAUCUUGAUCCUUGUACAAAUCAAUGUGAACUAGAAGUUCAAAGGAUCAUUCAUUUGCAAAAUCUUGAAAAUCAAUUACCAGAUGCAUUCAUUGAUACAAAGAAAGUGACAAAGUCACAUAUCCCGGCUGCAAAUACUCCAGCACGGAUUGAUGUCCCUGUAGGACAGUUAACAAAUGAAUCUAAGAUACGCCUGAAGCGUGGUAGACCUGUCGGCUCAAAGGAUGUAACUCCCCGGAAGAGGAGAACCCAAGAAAAACUUAGCACUCUAGAAGAGGCCAUCAAAAUGACUGAUCAGUUUAAAAUUGAUAAAUCUAUAGCCCUAGAAGAGGCACAAAUAAUGCAGAAAGCCCCUGAAGAGGUACAUAUUGAACAAGAAACCCCUGAAGAUCCACAUAUUGAAUGAGAAGCCCCUGAAGAGGCACAGGUACCUGAAAAUUGUGAGAUCUCAGUAAGUUAUGUACAAACGGGAGAAAAAUGGGAUCGAAAUAAUAUUGUUAUUAACAAUAUUUUUGCUUUCCAAGUGGCCUCUGAUAUCAUAAGAAAUGAUGAAGAUCCCGAACCACGAAAUGUGGAAGAAUGUCGACAUAGAAAUGAUUGGCCAAAAUGGAAAGAAGCUAUACAGGCAGAAUUAAACUCAUUAACAAAACGAGAAGUUUUUGGACCUGUAGUUCAAACACCUGAAGAUGUAAAGCCUGUUGGGUACAAAUGGGUAUUUGUACGAAAGCGCAAUGAGAAUAAUGAGAUCAUAAGAUAUAAAGCGCGAUUAGUAGCACAAGGUUUCUCGCAGAGACCUGGUAUUGACUACGAGGAAACAUAUUCUCCCGUCAUGGACGCAAUCACAUUUCGUUUCUUAAUUAGUUUGGCAGUCUCAGAAGGACUGGAUAUGCGUCUCAUGGAUGUUAUUACAGCAUAUUUAUACGGAUCCAUGGAUAAUGAUAUAUACAUGAAAAUCCCCGAAGGAUUUAAAUUGCCUGAUGCAAAUAAUACAAAGCCUCGUAGCAUGUACUCAAUCAAGUUACAACGAUCCUUGUAUGGAUUAAAGCAAUCUGGACGCAUGUGGUACAAUCGCCUUAGCGAAUACUUGCUAAAAGAAGGGUAUGUGAAUAACCCUAUAUGCCCAUGCAUUUUCAUUAAGAAAUCAGAAAUCGGAUUUGCAAUUAUUGCAGUGUAUGUUGAUGACUUAAAUCUUGUUGGAACUCCUGAAGAGCUCACAAGAACAACAAAUUACUUGAAAAAGGAAUUUGAGAUGAAAGAUCUUGGAAAAACAAAAUUUUGUCUCGGCCUGCAGAUCGAGCAUUUUCCAAAUGGAGUUUUAGUACAUCAAUCAACAUACAUUAAGAAAGUUUUGAAGCGUUUUUAUAUGGAUAAAGCGCAUCCUUUAAGUUCUCCAAUGGUUGUCCGAUCACUUGAUGUGAAAAAUGACCCAUUUCGUCCUUACGAAAAGGAUGAAGAGUUACUUGGUCCUGAAGUACCAUAUCUUAAUGCUAUUGGUGCACUUAUGUAUCUUGCCAAUUGUACACGUCCAGACAUUGCUUUUUCUGUCAAUUUAUUGGCAAGAUACAGUUCCGCUCCAACUCGAAGACAUUGGAAUGGUAUCAAACAUAUAUUGCGUUAUCUUCGCGGAACUACUGAUAUGGGUUUAUUUUACUCAAGGGAAUCAAAGCAACAAUUGCUUGGAUAUGCAGAUGCAGGAUAUCUUUCAGAUCCACAUAAAGGCAGGUCACAAACAGGGUAUGUGUUUAAUUGCAAUGGUACUGCUAUUUCAUGGAGAUCUGUCAAACAAACAAUGGUAGCCACAUCAUCAAAUCAUUCAGAAAUACUGGCAAUUCAUGAAGCAAGUCGUGAAUGUAUAUGGCUAAGAUCUAUGAUCCAGCAUAUUCGGGAAUCAUGUGGACUCUCCUCUAUCAAAGGUGGCCCGACAACAUUAUUUGAAGAUAAUGCUGCAUGCAUUGCACAAAUAACAGGGGGUUAUAUUAAAGGAGAUAGAACUAAACACAUUUCACCAAAAUUCUUUUAUACACAUGAACUCCAGAAGAGUGGUGAAAUUGAUGUGCAACAAAUACGCUCAAGUGAUAAUCUAGCAGAUUUAUUCACAAAAUCAUUGCCAACCUCAACAUUCAAGAAGUUAAUACACAGGAUUGGAAUGCGUCAACUCAAGGAUAUCGACAUGAGGGGGAGUAUGCUUGUAAAAGGGUGUUAGUGUACUGUACUCUUUUUUUCCUUCGUCCAGGUUUUGUCCUACUGGGUUUUACUGGCAAGGUUUUUAACGAGGCAGUCCUAAUAUACCAAGAAAAGAAUAUUGUACUCUUUUUCCUUCGCUAGGUUUUUCCUAUAGGGUUUUUUACUAGCAAGGUUUUAAUGAGGCAUAUUCUUUUAAUAUGGUGGUCAUCCAAGGGGGAGUGUUGUAAAUUAAGGGAAAUGAAUGACCACAUUGAUGGUCAUUAUGAACUCCAUUUACUCAUCUUUAAGAUGAGUAAUGGGAGUUCAUAUUAUGAAGCCUAUAAAAGGCUUCUUACCCUCCCAUGUAAAAGCAUCCCGAGAAAGAAAGAAAGCUCUUCCUCUCAUUCUCUCUCUCUCUCUUUCACUUUCUCAAUUCUCUUAUUUGAUUCCUUCUUCCAUAUUAUAUAUCAAAGUAAGAUAUAUUUUAUCUCUAUUACUUUGAUUUGCAUUAUAUUUGUCCUUGUUUUACAACAUAUAUAUAUAUAUAUAUAUAUAUAUAUAUUUAAUUUAUGUUUUAAAAACCAAAAAAAAAGCGAGAAUUGGAUUUUCAUCGAGACAUAAUUGAAGGCAUUUAGAAGAGAAAAAAAUAAAAUUAAACAUAAUAAAUUAUUUGUAUAUGUUUUUUUUAAUUAUUUUACUUAUUUUUUUCUAUUAUAUAAAAUUAAAAUAAUUUUAAAAUAUAUAAAAUUUUGACAAAUUUUAAUUAUAUUUAAUUUGUUUUUAUAUUUUUCAUAAUAAAUCUAAAUAUAAGAAAAUUAUUUUUUAUAAUAUUUUUUUCUUUAAUACUUUUUCAAAUAUCAAAUAUAACUUAAAUACAAAAUUUUGCUUCAUCCCAAAAAAAAAAUAACAACUCCUCUCUCAAAAUGAAUAAGCAAAAUAAAUAAAAAUUCAAUUAUUCAUAGUAAAUUAUCAUUAAAUGACCCCACACAAACGAAAUAAAUAUUAUGCAUGAGAUGGUUGAAUUUAAAAUGUAUCCUUUAUUCCAUCAUCAUUCUAAACCCUAAUUCCAUUAUUAUUAUUAUUAUUAUUUUUUCCUCAAUCUCUUAUCUUCCAAUUCCUCUAAGAAGUGUCCAAGACACGACCUAAUAUUUAUCGGACCAUUACGGGUCAAUGUGCUAAGCAAGCACACCCUGCUUAAAAAUCAUGUUAGGUCGAUCUAUACAAAUCAAAUAGAUGGUCUGACACAAUCUAUAAGUCCAUAGGCUAAUUAUAUUGUGUGGUGCCAAAGAAUGUGUAUGACGGACCGUAGCUAAUCAACCAUUCACUUUAUUAAAAAUUUUAAUUUAAUUUUUUUAAGUCAUUUUACUUUUAAAUUUUAUUAUUAUUAAAUACUCAGCCCAUUAUAUCCUCAAUAUUUUAUUUUAUCCUUUUUUUUUUUUUGGGCAUAAAAACAAGUGGAGGGGGCAAAACCAACAGUGGUAGCGAAGAAAGCUGACGACAUUGACUUCGUACGACAUGCCCGCUGAACAAUUAAUGACAAUUGCAGCAUGGCCAGGCGGUGUCAUCGGUCACUAUCAACAACCUACCUUUUAAUUUUAUUUAAGAUUUUCGCCUAUUCAAAUUUAGUGGGAAUAUGAUAGAAAAAAAAAUGUCAAAAACAAAUUCUUUUAUUCGAUAAUAUAAAAUGAUCUCUAGAAAUAUUUAGUAAUUUUGUAAAACAUUUUUUCAAAAUAAAAUUUAUUCCACUACUCUUAAUUUUAAAAAAUAUAUAUAAAAUACUCUUAAUUUUAUUUAAAAUUUUAUAAUUAAUAUAGAUUUUUUAAAAUAAUAUUAUAUAAAAUAUUUUAUGAUAUAUUCCUAUAAUAUUAGAGUUUCUUAUAAAAUAAGUUAUAAGAAAAAAAUGUUAUGAAAUGAAAAUGAAUUUAUAAAAAUUACACAAGAUGAAUAGAGAUGUAAGGAAUAAUAAGAGAUACGUUUCAAAAACCCAGUAGUUGUAUUUAAUUUUGAUUUUAUGUAAUAUUAUCUAUAAUAUAAUGUAAUAAUUAUCUCUUUGUCGUUGAUGUAAAUAUGAUUGAUUAAAAUUUCGCGUAACUAACUUGAUACAAUAAAUCAGUAUAAAAACUUUUAUCGACAAACAAAUUAGUAUUAAAGUUUCUAUCAAUACAAUAAUAUUUAUGAAAUAAUUAUUGAUGACAAAACACACGAGAUAAUGACGAAAAUAAAUUUUAACUAAAGGUGGGAUCAAUUGUUCUCUUAUUAAUUUAUAAUAUAGAAGAUGUGAAUAUAUAAAAGAUCGACUUAAUCAAAUUUGAUUAAAGAUAAAGAUGAUAGGAAAGUGUUUAAAAUAAUGCACUAGAUGAAGUACGUCUUUUCGUCAUUUUUAAAAAUAAUUUUUAAAAGACUGUAAAAUAUAAUUAAAGAUAAGAAUUAAUCUUUUGAAAAAAUAAAUCCAUAUAAAAAGAGUGAAUUCAUGGUUUGAAAAAAUAAGUUGAAUAUAAAAACUUAAAAAAUAUAAAUAUGAAAAUAAAAAAUAAAAAAUUAUGAAGAAGGUAUUUCUAAAAGGUGGAGACCCUUCAAUGCGUGGACAAGAAAACAAGGUGCCACGUCAAUAUCGAUUUAAGAAGUAUUUUGACACGUAUGGUCCAAAAAGAGCUAACGUGUCACAUUGAAAUAUGAAGACACAAAGGAAUCUCUCGAUGAAGCUGACAUACGAGUUAUACCAAAACAAAAUGGCUUUGGCUUCCAACCAUUACUGAAUUCUCUAUGCAUGUGAUAACGUUUUCAAAAUAACUGAUUAUUUUCAACCAAAACAUUCACUUUAGAAACAUAAAAUACAAUCCUAUGUCUCCUUUUUGAAGUAUUUAAUGUUUCGUAAAACCAAAAAAAUUUGUUCGCAAACUUUAAAUAUUCUUUAACUUGUUGUUUAUAUUUUUAAUUUAAAAAAGAAAAUAGUUUUUAUUUGCAGUAUUUCAUUUUUAAUCAUUUAUUAUAUUUAUAUCACUAUCUAUUAAAAUAUUUAUCAAAAAAUAAUUAAAAACAACAAAAAUAACCAAAAGAUAUUAUUUUACAAUUCUAUUUUUAUUUAUUUAUUUAACUGGCUUUUUGUAAACCAACUUAAUAACUUAAAGUGAAUUUAUAACUUAAUUUAAAUUAUUAAGUUAAUUAAGUAUAUUUGAUAAAAUAAUUUAAUAAUAUGAUUUAAAAUAAAAAAUAAUUUUAAGUAGUAAGUAAAACCGUUUAACUUAUUAUUAAGUUCAUAUAUUUAAUUUACAUUUUUACCUUUAUUUAAUUUAAUUACUUACUGGAUCUUCUUUACUAUUCCACCACAUCCACUAUUACUCAACAUAAUCUGCCGUAAUUAUAAUAUGUGAAGAUAAAUAUCAAUUUGAUGAUUUAAAAUGUAUCUUAAGUUAAUUUUAUAAAAUAAUCUUAAUACUUAAAGAAAAAAAUUAAAUAAUUAAUUUUAAGUUAACAAUUUAACUUAAAUUCAACGUAAAUCAUUAAAUAAUAAAUAUUAAGUUUGAUAAAACACUCACUUAUUAUCAAACUUGUACUCCUUUUUUUGGAUGGAUAAAAAAUUGAAUUAAAAAAUCAUUCCCAAAAAAUGAUCUAAUUAAGUGUUUGUUUGUAAUUGUUUUUUUAAACAUUUUUAAGUUUUUUUUUUCUAAAUUUGAAAAUAUAUUUAAUAAUUUAUAGAUUUUUUUUCAUGACUUAUCAUAAAAGUACAAUAUUAAAAAAAAUAUAUAUAAAUGAUGCAUCAAACUCUUAGCCUUUAUUUCUCAUAAAAUAUUAAGGAAAUAAAAAAAAUAUUUAGAAAAAUGGUUUUCUCAUAUUUGGUAAAAUACAAAAGAAAAUAAAAUAUAAUUAGAAUUAAUUAAAAAUUUAUACAUUUUUAAACUAUUUAAUAUUUAUAAUAAAAAAUAAAUUAAAUGAGUUUGAAAUAACAUAUAAAACAAUUUAUUAAUUAUAAAUGUAACUUUUAUUUUUACUUUUAUUUUUUAUUUUUUUUCUCUUGCAUUUUCUCUUAUAUUUUUCAAGAAUAAAACGUAACCUUAAAAAAUUCCGAUAAAAUAGAGUUUUCAUAGGUUGCUUAGACCUUCAACCUACGCCAACCCUGAUAUUUUCAUAUUGAUAUUUUGCUAACACAACCCUGACGCUAAGCUGUUCAAACUUUGUCCAUGCCAACUUGAACAUCGGGUUCGACAUAGGUUGGACCCUCUCAAGUUGCGUCCUAAUUUCAGGUGAAGCUUCGGUAGGCUACAAAACCACAGCCAUUUUAGUAUGGACGGAACCUGGGCCGAUAGGCAGGACAGAAGGCCCAAGAGUUCCAGCUGAAGCCUGAAACCUUUGGGCCCAGGUUCGGCCCAGAAAAUGAAACUGGUCGUGGUCGUAAAAGCGCGAAAAUUAAAGCAAAUUGGCGGGAAAGUGAUCUCCCGCAACUAUAAAUAUUAUCAUGAUAAAUAAAUAAAGUUCAAUUAUUCAAAUCCAUUUUCAAAUUUUCCUCUCUCAAUCUAGGGUUUCAAAAUGCAGAUGUUCUCCAGCCAGUUCGAUCCCUUCUCCGGUGGAUUCUCGUCAUCUCAGUCAACUGAUUCCGGCGUUUCGUCGGCCAAAGUGAGUGUUUAAACAUCCUUCUUCAUUUUCUUCUUUAUCCUUUUUUGAUCCCGUCAGCCCCUAAAUAAUUAUAAGAACCGGGGCUCACUGUUUUAGUUUCUUUUUAUUUUUAUUUUCUCUGUAACCAAACAGAGAGGUAGUGUUUUGUUAAGCUUAGGUUUAUAUAUAUAUAUAUAUAUAUAUAUAUAUAUAUAUAUAUAUAUAUAUAUAUAUAUAUGGUUAUUUUAAAAUUUGUAUUUAUUGCAGAGUCGUGAAACUCAAGGAUUGAUCCCAGUGACAGUGAAGCAGAUCAGUGAAGCUUCUCAUUCCGGUGAUGAUAAAUCCAAUUUCCAAAUCGACGGUGUGGAUGUUACCAAUGUAUAAUUAUAAAACCCCCUCGUCUCUCGCUUUGAUUCCAUUUGUUUUAGCGGAGAACAUUUUCCCAAGAAAAGUUUUCACUAUAGUUUAUCUCUGAGAAAAUUGAUUUCGGCUGUAGAAUAUUGAAAAUUCUAAAAUCUGGUUCCCUUUCAUCUAUUGGGAACCAAAAAGAAACCUAAAGAAAAGUGAUGUAUUUUUUAAAAAUUAUGCAGAUCAAGAUUCUUUGAUGGGAAACACUUUUUCCACGAAGAUCCUUCAUCUGGAUCUAUUUUCUGUCAAAACAAACUGAAUUUCUAUUCUGUCUUUUCCUUUUUCUAACUGAGGAAUUCCUGUUUCUGGUCUGCUUAGAUUACAUUGGUUGGAAUGGUGUUCGAUAAAUCUGAAAGGGUUACUGAUGUUUCUUUCGCUCUCGAUGAUGGUACAGGCCGAAUAGAGUGUAAAAGAUGGUAACAUUUUCUUUUCUCGUUGUUUGAUUUAAUGUUUGUGAUUAUACUAAACAUGAAACAUGGUGUUCUUCAUAAAGCAAAUGAUCAAAACAAUGCCCAUGGAACUGAUGAUAUCAAAUUAUUUUGUUUUGACAUGAAAGGGAAAUGUAGUGGGAUUUAGAUUCAAGACGAGGGAUUAGUUUAUGUUCUAUGAAUUCUUCUUUAGUAAUGAAAUUCAGAGUUUAUUUUGAUGCAUGUUUAUGGGUUUUUUUCUUGAAGGGUGAAUGAAGCUUUUGACACAAGGGAAAUGGAGAACAUAAGGUAAGCUUUCAUCUCAUAGGAAUGUUAGAUAAUAAAUGUACUUUGAUCUUUGUAUACUUCUGGGUGUAUUAUGGCUUAGAGAAGUGCUUAUACUUUUCUUUAAUAUUGUUCCAAAUAGUGAUGGAAUUUAUGUUCGUCUUAAUGGACACCUAAGAAGUUCUGGAGGCAACAGGCAAUUGGUUGCCUUUUCAGUGAGGUAUGUGUUCAACACUUUUGACUUGUUAAAUUAGUAUACUAGUUCUUAAUAUUUGUUUUCUUCAUUUUGUUUGGUCUAACAGAACCUGAAUUUUUACGUUUGUUAAAUUUUUGUUUAUUCUGAACAUUUGAAAUGCUUGGCUAGAUAAACUUAUUAGAAAAAUUAAUGCUUAACUGCAUUAAGCCCUGCAUGAUGCAUUUAUGUAUUGUGGUUGUUGUGGAUACUGGUAUCGGUUUAAACCCCAGAAAAGUGAAUUGAAGAGGCAAAAACCUAAAAAAUAGUGGAAAUUAUAUGAUGUGAAUUUCCAGUUGGCUUAUUGAUUCAUUUUGUCAAAAAAUUUGGGACAAUGUUGAUAUAUUCAGCACUACUUGAUAUUGGGAGACAGCAGAGGAGUGCACUAGAAAUACAAGGUUGUAUAUGUUGUGCUUUUUCUCAUGUUGGAUAAUGAGUUCCUGAAAUUAAUAGAUGUGAGCUCCCAACUGAUAAAAUAGUUGGGGUGGGGCAGAUUAUGGGAAACAAUUAGCUACAGUGUAUUAUAUGCUUGUGUGUUUAGUAAACCAGUUGAUGGUGUGUUACAGUGCCCUGGAUUUGGUUGUUUUGCAGGCCUGUGACAAAUUUUGAUGAGAUUGCCUUCCACUUUAUUGAGGUCAUACAUCUCCAUCUGAAGAAUUCCAAAACACGGGUAAUUGAUUUAUAGAGUGAAUGUGUUUGUGACUAGCACAUGUGUAUUUAGUUGUGUUUUGUGAUGGUUGAUUUUGUAUUUAUUCACUUUGCAGCUGCCAAGUGAUGCCCUGACUCAGCCUUUGAGUGCCUCUGUGAAGACCGAAUCAACUGGAUAUCAAACCCCAUCAAGUCAGGUAAAGAUUGAUUGAACACAUGGAAAUUUUCUUCCUUCUAAACUUUCUCAUUGAUGUGUGGAUUUGGCAUGAAAUCCCAUUCUUCCUUUUUGUAGUUAUCUGCCCAAAGUGUUGAUGGAGUCAAAGGACUCGACCAAAUGGUUCUUGACUACCUGCAGCAACCUUCAAACUAGUGAGUGAUAAAUUCUCAAUUGUAUACAACAAAUAAGUAAUACCUAGUGACAACAGUAAGCAUUGAGCUACAUAACAUGCUUUGUUUUAUAUCCAUCCCUUUUUCUUUUUGGCUUGUUGGAAAUAUAUUGUUCAUUUUUUUGCUUGAAUGCUGAACCUUUGGGUGCAAUUCAUGUUUGCAGUGAUCGAGAAAAGGGCAUACACAGGGAUGAACUUUCCCAGCAGCUGAAAAUUUCUACUGAAAAGAUCAUGUACUUUCUGUCUCCCCCUCCUUUCUGUAUUUAGUUUGCAGGGAAAGUAUUUAUCAAACUUUUUCCCAUUGCCUGUGCCAGGGAAUCCAUCAGAACUCUUGAAGAGGAAGGGUUGAUCUACUCCACAAUUGAUGAAUUUCACUACAAGUCAACCACGAGUGGAUGAUGCUCAAGGAUUUUAAACAAAAAGGCCUGGUGUUGGAAACCUAACUCAGCUAUGUCUGUUAUAAUUUCUUCCUUCUGCUUUUGACUGAAUCUGUUUGGAGGAUUCAUCAAAACAUUAAUGUAGUGCAAUCCAAUGUAGUACAUAAAAUUAAGAAUGUAGUUUCUUCUUGCUAUUAUUAAUUGAAUAGUAUAAAAAACUAAUACAAUUAAUGUUAAUGAAAAACCAGUCUGCAUUGUCACUGAUGUUUGUAGUGAUCACACAAAUAUAAAUCGAGUGGCUUCAAUCUGUCAUCAUCAUUGAGUUUCAUCCUCAAGGUUGCAGAAACCCAUGGUGAGAUCUUCAUGUGGUUUGCAUCAUCACCGGCCUUCAUCCUCAAGGUUGUGGAAGCCCAUGGUGAGAUCUUCAUUUAGUUUGGUGAACUUUGCUACCAGAGCUUCCUCGCCUUCUGCUGGAUCUUCAAAUUUCUGAGAUCUGUUGGAAGUAAAAAAAUGUUCGGAUUAUCAUACAAUAAAUACAAAGGAGGUUCAUGCCCAAUGUCACCCAAGUUGCAACCCUAAGUCUAACCCAAUUGGAUCAUAAUCAUAAAUUCAAGUUAAGCUUGAGUUGUCCAAGCCUUGGCCCAACCCGUCCAAAUGUUGGGUUGGGUCGGACCAGCUCACCCAAGUCACAGCCUUGGUAAUGUAAAACUUACACAAGACGGUAGAAAAGAUCUCCAAGACGAUGCUUGAUGAGGCUGUAUGUUAUUUUCUGCCCGUCCAUACCAGCUCCUCGUUCUACUGCCUGCAUAUACAGGUCCCAUCAAAAUAUAUUAGACUUCUUGCCCCAUGUAAAAGAUUGAGACUUGUUUGUUUCUGAAGAAAACUAAUAUUUUUCUUAUACCAAACACUAAUGAAGAGGAUGUAUUUAUUUGUAACUUGAUUUCUAUAGCUCUAUUUUGUAGGUAACACUUGCAGACUUCUUGUAUCGUAAUGGUGAUCUAACCAUUUUUCUUUUCAUUUGUCCAAUCAGAUACCCUUUGAGUCAGAAAAAAAUGAAGAAUACAUAGAGAGGAAAUAUCAGGAAAGAAAGGGAAAAAUAAGAGUACCUGAUUGGCCAAAUUAUAGAAAUGAAUAAUGUUCCUCAUCAUCCAAACUGACUUGUAAAAGGGACAAAACUUGUCAUAUCUGUCAACCAACCAAAAAAUCAAUAAUCAUGGAAGAUAAUGAAAAUUUGAUUGGAAGUAACAAAAAAUAACCCAUGUCAGUCCUACAGUGACUAAGAGUGUGCUUGAGAGUAAUUUCAAAAAACGCUUCUAGUAUUUCUACCAUUGAAUGAUAAAAAUUAUCAAGUAUUAGAAAUAUUAAAAACGCUUUUUAGAAUCACUACCAAACGGGGUCUAAAUUAAGUACAAUUUCCACUUACGGUGUGAAAGCAUUUUGAGCAAGAUAGUCCUCCCUCAAGAGCUUUGCAGUCUCCAGUGUAAUUUUAUCCGUUUCUGCCAAAGCAUCCUUUCCAACAAGCUGCAAUGUUGGAAGAUAAUCAGACUUAUCAAUUACAAUAGCAGCAAAGCAUUUGAAGCAGAGUCUGAUUUCCUAAAUUAAAUCCAAGAUUAAGAGGAAGGUGGAACCCAUUGAGCAUCUAGCAUUUUUAUGGCGUAUGAGCCCAAACUCCCCUCAUUGAAUCUUGAAAACAAUCAGAGAUCUGACAAAAAUGGUUCCCAAUUCCUGAUCCUCAUGCACUAUCCAUAUCUGGGUGGUUAAUGAUGUUGAUAUUUGUUGAAUCCCAUGUAUUUCCAGACCGCCAUGGAAAAACUGCAGGUUUUGGCACCCUAAAGUAAAUUCAACACUAUCAAGCUCAACCUCAACUCAAACCCUUCCAAAUCCAACACAUGUUUGAGAAUCACCGGGAUCUAAUUAUAUAUACCUGGACUAAUAAUUGUAUAAUCUAUAUAUUUGUACUACACUAGAAUUUAAUAUUUACAGCACUGACAGUACAAUCUGGCUAAAUUGGAAUCAUUUCUGAAUUCAACUACAUGAAUUCCAAAGCCAUGCUCAUAAUGGAGGUUGGUGGUGAUGGUUUCAGGUGAAGAGAAACAAAGUCUUCUAGAAGUUUGAGGGGAAAAACAUGCCUGGACAAUUUCAUUAAGGUCAUCUUCUCUUUGCAGCACCUCACGAGCCUUUGUCCUGAUAUUAAUAAAAUCAGGGUCAUAUUGUUCAUAAAAAGAUUCCAAUGCCUGAAAAUGUACAAAGCAAUAAGUGAGCUUAAGAAAUUAAUCCAUGGUGAGAAGGCGUUAACAUAUAAUACACCUAAAGAAAAAACAAUAGCAUCUGGUGUGUUUGAACAGAAGAACUUACGGUUGAGUACUUAGAGUAAGAAAUAAGCCAGUUUACAGAUGGGAAAUGUUUCCUCUGAGCAAGCUUUUUGUCCAAACCCCAGAACACCUGCACAAGGUUUUAUGGAAAACUAAAACUUGAAUGCCAAAAGGAGAAAUUAAAGAGUCAAAUGGAUACUCCAAGUCUUCAAUUAUAAUAGAAUGAUGGGAAGGUUCCUUAUGCUUUCUGCUUUUUUCUUAACAAUCCAAAACAUAUGAUAUUUUGUGUGUUUUGGAACACAAACAUUUGAUGAGUCUAGGUAGAACAUGGUGUUAAACUCAUUUAAAGGAGACUGCAUUAGCUGCAGUUUCUGAAGUGCUAGGAAACUUUUCCUGUGUCUCCUUUAACUAAAUGUUGUUACUCAUGAGACGUGAAAUGGGCAAAAAUGAAAAUGCUGGAAAAUUUGGAGAUUACCUGGACAAUACUAAGUGUAGCUGAUGUCACUGGAUCUGAAAAAUCUCCACCUGGUGGAGAAACUGCACCCACAAUGGUGACACUACCUGUGCGUUCUGGCCCACCAAGGCACUUAACUUUACCAGCACGCUCAUAGAAAGAGGCUAAACGUGCUGCCAGAUAAGCAGGGUAACCACUGUCUGCUGGCAUUUCUGCCUGAUUAAGAAAUUAUAGUUGUCAAUUUUCAGAGUAAGCAAAGAGACACGCUUCAGAUUACAAAAUCAAUAUUUCAAAAUGCAGUUAUAUGAAAUCAUGCCAAUUGAGCAAGUAGCAAACUAUAGAAAGCAACCACAAAGCCUGUCAUUAUUUGAAGCAAAUUCAAUCAUGGGAAAAGAAACAGGGCAGAAUCACAAAGUUAAAGAGCCUUUUCCUUUUUCUUUUUGAUGAACUAAGUAUAUUCCAUGUGAGGGAAAAGGGUAACGUUGCAGUACAGAAGAAGUACAAAGGAAAAUGAAGGAAGAUAAGAAAAACAUAGGACAAAUCUAGAUCAUCAAGAGCACCAACAGAAGAGUCAUGGUGCCCGCUAAAAAUCCGAGAACUAUUCCACAAAAAAUGAAAGAAAAAAGUUCUGACUCGAAAGACGAGGAUGAAGAACCAUAUAGUUAAUGUUCUUAGAAUUAAAUGGAGAAUUUUUUUAGAAUCUUCCAUGCUCAUUAAUUGCAUAUAUCACACUUCUCAAUUCAAUAUUAACAAUUGAUUUACUUAUAGAAAGAAAAAAAAUAAAAUAAAUAAUGACAAAAGAAAUAGGCCAUCUCACCAGUCUUCCAGAUAUCUCACGCAAAGCCUCAGCCCAACGAGAUGUUGAAUCUGCCAUCAUACUGACAUUGUAACCCAUGUCUCUAAAGUAUUCGGCAAUUGUGAUACCUGAACAUUCCAUGAUCACAUUGGUUUAGAAAAUAAUUUUGAAUAAAUAUACAAAACUUGGAAAAAUGUUGCUUCACCAAAAAAAAGCUACCAAUGGAAAUUCUCAAUGUUGAAAGUAACAGGAUACAUACAUUUGUCUACAUGCUUAAACUGUUCUGAUGUAAAUAUAGUUGAUAAAGUUAUGGCUUGAAAUGUUUUGCUCAAACAAAGUUUAGCCCUAUGAAAAAAAUGAAGGGUAGAAACUACACAUACAAAAGAAUCCCAAUUCAUAACAAAACAAUGAAGAUCAAAGCAUUACCUGUAUAAAUUGAAGCCUCCCUUGCAGCCACAGGCAUGUUAGAAGUGUUAGCUACGAGCGUAGUUCUCUUCAUGACAGAUUCUUCUCUCCCAUCAGGCAGUGUCAUUGUCAGUUGAGGAAAAUCCAUCAGAACCUAAAUUUUAUUGUAUUUUAGAUUGAACCAAACCUCUGCCAUUUCAUUUCCUCUCUCUCCACAUCCAACAUAAACCACAGUGUCAGAAUUAGAGUACUGCAAAUGAGUAGAUGUUAUGCUAAUGCAUGAGACUGAGAUAGAAGAAUUAUUUCCAACAUAUUAAAAACAAAAGCCUAGUAAACAAAUGAGAAAUACACCUUGGAAAGAGCUUGACUGAUGACUGUUUUCCCACAGCCAAAUGCCCCAGGAAUUGCACAAGUCCCACCCAGGACUGAGGGAAAGAGAGCAUCGAGAACACGCUGUAGAGUACAAAAGAAAGUAUCAGAAAUACCCAUUUCAAAAUGGUAGUCAUGUAUGGGCUAAACCUUGACAGGAUGCAUUACCUGCCCAGUAAGGAGAGGUGUAUCAGCAGCAAGCUUUGAGGCAACAGGCCUAGGUGUACGGACAGGCCAAGUCUGAAGAAAGGUAAAAUAAAAAAAGGAGUCAUUAAUCAGAUGCUUACCAUGCAGAUUUUACUUUAAGGUAAUGCAUAGAAAAUACCAAUAACCUGAAGCAUGGUAAAUUGCUUUUUGACACCUUGAAACUCAAGUUCUAGCACUGUGUCCUGCAUAUACAUAUAUGAGAGUCAACUCAUGACUGAUUGUAGAAAUCUAAACAUAAAUAGGCAAGAUAAACAAAAUAGACAUUAUUGCCUUACAAAAGACCUAAUUGGUCCAUUUCUUAUGUUUACUUAAGGCAGCAUUAUAUGAUUACAGAAUUCCUAAUUUCCUAUUUAAGAAUGCAAAUCAUCCUACAUCCAAAUGAGAAAAUGCAAAAAUAUAUUUUAAAAGAAAAAUUAAUCUUCCAACUGCAUGCAUUAUAAUGGUUUGAAUUGAUAAGAAGAAAUAACACUGAAGCUGUAUAUUUACCAUAACAUACUAAUCCGAGUUACGAGUUCAGGAAGAAGGUACAAGAGCCAACAUUAGAAACAAAAUCCAGAAACAUGGACUUAAAUGUGUAAAAAGUAAGGGGUGGUUUCAAGACAAGUCUUGAUGCAUUAAAAUAAAAUAUCAGAAAUCUAAAGGAUCUGCCUUGUUGCUGCUUCUGUCAAAACAAUAGUUCCCUCUUUGUUAUGGAAAUAUUAGUUCCGGAAGCAGUUCUUUAAAAUUUAAAAUUGUGCUUCCUGUAAGUUUUGGUAGUGGGAAAAGCUAGAAGCCUGUUCAUAUAUUUACCACCAAUAAAUAUGCAAAUGCAAAUCACUAAUGUCAUCUUCAACAUAAAAUGAAGAUACAUUUCCCAACUUCAAUCCCAACAAAAAAUCCUAGCCACAAGAUUUUAGGACAGAUUGCCAACUCAACCAUAGGAACAUAAUGAAAAUGGUCAUCAAAGUUGCAAAACAAAGAAAUUUGGAAACAAACCUUUAGUGAAUAUUGACCAGGUGGUGCUAUGUAAGUGAUCUUUCCCAUAGCAUCAGGGGGAAGUGCAACAUGGUGUUGCAUUAAGCUAUUCUCAAAAACAGACUGCAUGUAUAGGAUUAAAAUAUGAGUCAAAAUCAGAAAAAUUGAGAGAAAAGUGACACCAUACUUUCCCAAGUCAACACUUCAAUCCUAUUCUAACAAACUAAAAUAAUGUUAUCAGCUUACAGCAUACAAGUCUCCACCAGUUAAAAGAUCUCCUUCACCUGCAACAGUGAGAGGAAAGCAAUUUUAUUAGCAUCAAUGAUACAGUUAAGGACAGACCACAAACCAACUAUCACGUAUUAGCAUAUUCAAGCAGUACCUAGUUUCUUGGGCUGGAACUCCCAUAGUGUAUCUUUGUCAAGGGCUGGGACAGAAACACCACGAGGAAUAUAGACAUCACCAGAUCUCUUAGCAAUAGUCUUCAGUGGCCUCUGCAUUAAUACAAAAGAAAGCAAUUAAAUUAGAGAUUUCUACUGUGGAAGCCUAUAAUGCUGCCCAUUUGAAUAAACAAAAAUGUUGGGAAUCCAUAUAACAGAUGUAACAAAAGUGUGCAAAUAAAGCUUUUAGACAUGUAGGAGAUGACAAGAGCAUGCAUGGGGUUAAUUCCAAUUUUAAGUCUUUUACCAUCUUUUCAAGUUGUGAUUGUCACUUGUAUCUGAACAUUUUCUGGAUUACAUAUGGAUUAACACCCUGAAAAGACUAAGGCAAUUUUGCUGGCAACAAGAGUUUAUAUACCCACCUGAAUGCCAUCAAAAAUGUUUCCUAAAAUUCCAGGUCCCAGCUCCACUGAGAGGGGCUGCAAUAGCAGGGGAUAAUGAGAAAACUGAAGCUAAAAAUAAAGUAAACCUUGAGAUAAAUGAAUGCAGAAGACAUCAGGGCACCUUGUGUGUUCGUAAAACAGGGUCGUUCACCAUCAAACCAGCUGUUUCUUCAUAAACUGAAAUACACCCAAAAAAACAAAAUUAUCCCCUUGUAUUAACAUAAAAGAGCUUGAACUUUAGAAUACAAGAAGCAUUAAGAUCAAAUAUAAAAACAUGGCAGAAAUUUGGACAAACAGUAACAGAAACUUCUAAAAGUGUAAAAAGAAACACCAACUUUCCAGUAGUAGAAAAAAUUUAUUAUUGAGAUCAAAUCAAAUACUCUGCCAAAAGGUUUCGGUUACAAUCAAGGCAAAAUGCUAAUCCUCCUUGAAGGAAUAAGAGAAACUACUAAAUGGGACAGGAAUAGGUCGAACGGAAAAGGUUGAAUAUCACUCUUUAAUUUUUAUUUGAAUGGUUUCUUUCCGACAUUCCAAGCUCUUAGAUGAUCAUUCAUCUAAUGACUGAGAUAGUUCUCAGUGGUUUGAAGAUCCACCAACAUGGAAGCCUACUUGUUGAGAAACAAACACUUGAGGAUUUUAGAGGGCAUUUAUAUCCCCGUUUAUUGGGUUUCAUUACUUGGGUUGAAUUCUUACACUCCUCUUUUCCCUUCUCUAGUGGUUUCUUCUAAAAGAAACCUCAUCCACUUUUCUUCAUAUCAAUUCUUUCCAUGAUAGAUUCUUUUAUCUCCUAGAAGACAAACACUUGAAUGAAAUACCUUGGAUGGUAGCUGAAUCUCCUUCCAAUCGAAUAAUUUCCAGGAUAAGGUUGUCAUAACCAACUCGAACCAGUUCAUACAUAGCAGCUCCUGCCAUUCCAUCAGCAACGACAACUGGUCCGGACACCUGCCAAAUUCCACAACCACAGUGCAAUUAAGCACAUCCGACCAUCACUUCCAUUUCUCAGUUUGUGAAAGAGUGAUUUGCAUAAUAGCUACAAAUGGGCAAAACCCAGAUGCACAAACUAUAUCGAAAGGCAAACAAGCAAUACAAAACACCAAAAAAAAAAAAAAACAAAAAAAAACAAAAACAAAAUAAAUACUCACUAAACCAAGAUACAGAAACAAAACUAAAAAAAAGAAAGAAGAAAAUCCCAUUAUUCAUAUCAAUGCUGCUCCAUGAAUCUGAUCGUUUAUUCACAAAUCCCAUCAGAGUGAAACACUAUAGCAGCCGAAGCAGAUGAUGCUAAUUGCAAUGGUGGUGAAGUGAAAUGAAGUGCAUGAUAAAGAAUUCAAAUUGGGUUCUGGUGUAAGAAGUGAGUAUUCCAAGUGACACAUGAUCUCAAACAUGAAAUGAUGAAAACCAGAGAAAAAAAAUGAGUUACCUUGCGAACAUAUCCAUACUCGCUCUCUUUCUCAGAAUCCUCAAAUGUAGUUAAUCGAGCUCCAUUAAUGGAUGGCAUUUUCUCUGAGAUCUGAAGAACCAACUGAAGCGAGAGAGAGGAAGAGAGAAUGCGAUUGAAGAGCAAACGACAACAAUUAAAGAGCAAAACGACAGGGAAGGUAAUGAGGGAGAAGCCAGAAAGGUGAUCGGAGGAGCUAGGUCCGUCUUUAGAGGUUGUAUUAUGAUAAAAUAACUUUAGUCACCUAGACCAAUCGCCCCUAUAGCUCAGUGGUAGAGCGUCAGUCUUGUAAACUGAAGGUCCGUAGUUCGAUCCUGCGUGGGGGCAAUAACUGUUUUCAAAAAUUAAUUUUGAAAGAUGGUUUCAAAUACAUUUUUAAAAAUUUUAGAAAUAAUUUAUUUUUAGUUUUAAAAAACAUAUCUAACAGACCAGCACCCAGCCAAUCCCCUCAUUUCAGGGGUCGCUUUUUCUCUGUCUCAAUAGCUGUCUACAAACGUGUGGACGUGGUACGUGCUCCUUUCUUUCCAAAUUUCAUAUUGUCAUCAUAAUCAAUGGUCACGAUCGCUCGCAUUAAUUUUUUCCGAUGGCUAAUCCUGACCGUCUGUCGAGAUCCAUCAAUCCCGAUACACGUAAAAGAGCGGGAAAACUGUGACAGACCAGUAAGAAUUAGGAACUAAACGGUCACGUCUAUAAGCGGAGCAGUGACCGAUCCGCUGGUCACAGUCAUUUGCAACAAGCAGAGCUCCCGAAGGAGGACGAUGGCGCCCAAGAAACGCAGAGAGGGGGAGGCUCCGGUAGACACUAGUACGACAUCGGUAAGGGUGACUCGGAGCUCGACUCGCCGGCUCGGUGCGAAAGCCAACGACUCAGUGGCUCCUGCUCCUGCACCGCCGGAGCGGCCGAAGAAGAAAGUCAAGAAGACCGAGGACGUGAAAGAACCGGAGAAGGUUGCCGAUGGUUCCAAAACGAUUGUUAUAGAGCAUUGGUGAGUUUUCUUGUCUUGUCCCUGUGAUUAAAUGGUCGGAAAAAGGAAGAAAAUGGAAAGAAAUGAAAAUUUUGUGUGGUAGUUUGGUUUUGCAGGACGGAGUCAGAAAGACUAUGUGAUAGAAGUAGCUGUUCUGGUUUUCUUGGUAACUAAACAGCAUAUUUCUAUCACUAUUAUUAUCAUCAUUAUUCUUCAGGCCAAUUUUGGAUUUCGCUAUAGUUUUCAAGUUUUGCGGUGGAUUACAAGUGAAUGAUUGUUGUUACAUGUUAGCUUGUCUAUGUUCAAGAGCGUUGUAGAAUCCUCAGUUGUUUUUCGUUUUCUAGGUAUUCGUUUUUCUUUUUUCGGUGGAAUUUCCUCUGAGGUAGGAUUGUAUUUUGGGGUUUCAUGUUAGUGUUUUUAGGUCUUCUGAUAUGACGAAAAUGGUCUUUUUGCACUAAAGGAGUAUGGUUUAAAGUUUUUAGCCUGGCUCUUGGACUUCUGGAUUGGGUUCCUAGCUCUUGUGUGGUGUUCUUGGUGUUUCAGUGUAUUUGUAUGUUGGUUUUGUGACUAUGUCUCUGCUUUUCUUUGGAUGCUAAGGCUUCGUUUUGCUUGUAAUCUCUACCAUACUGAAGCUGUUCUUCUUGGUUUAUUGCAACAGAGGGUUUUUGCUGAUAUUCUUGUUGAGUUGUUUCUUUCCUUGGUUUAAAGCUUUUUUGGGUUUUUGAUUUCAAGAAUCUUUGUUUGCUAACAUUCUCGUAAUCCAAGAUACUAGCAUCUAAUAUAAGAAACUUUAUUCGCUGGGUGUUGUAUGAUACUUGUACUUAUUUUAUCCUUAUUUUUCUGACUGAUAAGUAGAGAUCUUUUUCCAGUUUAUAGCAUUUCUUUAUACCGUUUUGGUUGUUCUUAGAAAAUUUGAGGGAGAAUGGGAGGGAAAAUGAUUUUGUGAGGAAAGAAAAAUAAAAGGAAAAUGAAAAAUGGAUUUAAAAUAAGAAAUUACAUCAAUCUUUAAACUUAUCUUACUUAUUUUUCUUCUUUUUUCUAUAUGAAGAUUAAAUACUGAAAAAAUGUGUAAGUUGCUAACUAAUUCUAAUUAUAUUUGAUUUUUUUCUCUCUCAUAAUUUUCAUGGUAAGCCAAAUAUGAGAAAAACAUUUUCUUUAGCAUUUUUUCCCAUUUAUAAUAUUUUCUGAGACCCAAACAUAACCAAUACAAUUGUUACUUAUCUUAAUACAGCAAACAGUGCAACUCAUUCAAGACAAGAGCUACUCAAGUAAAGGAUGGAUUAGAGAAGGGUGUGUUGGGUAUCACCGUUGUUGUCAACCCAGAAAAGGUAUGUUAGGAUGCAAGGGAGUCUGUUUGCAAGUUUUAAGUUGAAGUAUCAAAUUAAUGUCUAGUUUUGAUUUCUUCUGAUUUGGUGACAUCAUAUGAGGGUGUACACAAAAUAUGGCAUGUACAUCAUGUUUUGGGAUCUCACUCAUUCUAUUCUACAAAAACUUGGAGGUUGUACAUGUUCUGUUAAACUAGUUUUCAAUUUUAUUUUUAAUUAAUGAAGAUAAAGGUAAAGUCUAACUAAUCAUGUAGAAUAUCCAAACCCUUUCAACAGCAAGAGAUGGAAACCCUUUCAAUUUUAGUUUUAGUUGAUUUUCUCUGUUUGGUGUGGUAUGGAUGAUGUAGUCAAAAGUAAGAGAAACUCUGUUAAAACGACAUGGAACUUUUGUUGCAUGGGCAGGAAAGGGAAAAAAGCCAAGCUUGGAGGACCACUCCAUUGUGUUUAUCUUGGAAUUUGUGGGAGGAAAGAAAUGGAAGAGGCCUUUGAAGAUUUGGAACUACUAGAACGAGCCAUUAAAUUUUCUUUUAGGAGUCUAUUUUGGAAUGGGUUGAAUGUAGAUGAUUAUUCCAUGACCAUGAUAGUCUUUGUAGAUUGGGUUAGCUAAGUAAAGAGAGGUGAUUUGUUUUUUUGUUUCUUCUCUCUUUCUUUUGCUUGCCUUUUUUUUUUGGUGAAAAAUAUGUAUAUCAGUGUACUUUGUUGUUCCUUUUUGCAGGCUCUUUACAUGUAUAUAUAUACACUCUCUUCUAGUCUAUAAAAAAAAUCAUAGCCCUUUCAAGCCUCUCACAUGUUUAUAAAUUAAUCUUGGUUGCAAUAAAUUAUGUAGCUAACAAUUCAGGGUAAUACAUGUCCACACAGUUUGUGGUAUAUGUGCACCAGAUUAUUUUUUACUUAGUUUCAGAAGUACGAUAACCCUGGAUAUGGUUCCCAUGUUAACAAAGGGAAGUACCAUUUAAAGUAGUAGGUGCAAUGAACUUCCAUGACCUUGCUCUUCUCCUAAUAGAGGCUCCUAGCAUCAAUUGAGGAUGCACACAUAGCCCCAAACUCCACUUUUUGCUUUUUUUUUUUUUUCUCCCAAAUCACAUAUACCCUUAAAAGCAAGGUAAACAGUGGCAAAUCUUGUCUCCACCAGUCUUGCUAAUUCCUGUUUGUGUGGGUGUAUAUGUGCAUUUGCAUGCACCCAUACACAAUGGCUCUGGUUCUGGUGGUUUAAAACCCAAAGGGCCAUUAGGUAUGAGCUAUGGUGAUAUAACUGAUAAAAGCAAGCAAGCUGUUAAUCUCUUUGAUGCUUUAGUUUCUUCACUGUAUAUGCACCUCAUGUUGGGGUCAUAAAUAGGCCCAACUCAAGAGGCUUUUCUAGGACAGAUUGUUGCAACAUGCAUAGUCCAUGAAUAGAAUGUAACUCCGCUCCAUGAAGUGUGGACAGCCGAGGGGGAAUGGGGGGGAAGUUGGAACCCUUGUUUCAAUAGACCUUUCAAUGAUUGGGAGUUGGAAGAAGUGGAAAGGCUAUUUUGUUGCUUGGAGGGGAAGAAGGUUAGGGGGGAUGAGGAGGAUAAGGUGAAGUGGAUGGCAUCAAAGGAUGGGGAUUUCUCGGUGAAAUCUUUGUAUAGGACCAUGCAGCCGGGGUCUCUUGCUUUUUUCCCUUCAAAAAUUAUAUGGAACUCUUGUGUGCAGCCCAAAUUGAGCUUUUUUGCGUGGGAGGCUUCUUGGGGGAGAGUUCUAACCUUGGAUCGCUUGCAAAAGAGAGGUUGGGUUAUGGCAAAUAGAUGUUUUCUUUGUCAUAAGAGUGAGGAGACAAUUGACCACCUUCUUAUCCAUUGUGAAAAAACGAGGGAAGUAUGGAUGGUGUUCCUUUCCUUUUUUGGUGUUUCGUGGGUUUUCCCCCAUUCGGUCAAGGAAACCCUUUUAGGGUGGAGGGGGUCUUUUGUGGGAAAGAAAAGGAAGGUGGCGUGGCAAUUGGGACCGUUAUGCUUGUUUUGGGUUAUUUGGAAGGCUAGAAAUUCAAUUGCAUUUGAGGAUUGUGGACUGUCCAUUCAAAGGCUGAAAACAUCUUUUGUGUAUUUUUUGUGGUCGGAAUCCAAAUUGUGGAUAAAAGAUGGUCCUUCGACCUUGAUAGAUUUUAUGGACUGGGUGUGUAUGCGUUAAGGGAGAGGUUUUUUUGUUUUGCCUUGUCCUUUGAUGUUUGGGCCCUUUUGUAAGGGGGUAAGUCCCUUUAUACUGUAAUUUGGUGGGUCGCUUCUUUAGCGCCUCUUUGCAAUACAUCUUAUAUUGAUCAAAAAAAAAAAAAAAUGUUUUUUUUUUGUUUCAAGUGACUUUGUUUAAGGUCUCUGUUUAUGGGGUCCAUGUGUUGGUUUUGUUCUAUUUUCCCAUUCUCAAAUGACUUUCUCUUCCCAGCCAAGAAGAGGAUGCUUCGAAAUUCGGGAGGAAGGUGGCGAGAAGUUCAUCAGUCUUCUGGUAAAACUCAUGCCUCAUCAUUCACAGUAUCAUGGGAAGGCACUAUGUUUUUAUGCCAUAAUCAUUUUAUUCGUUUGCAGUAUAUUCUUAUUUUUUCUUCAAUGGUUUGCAAUUUUAUACACCAUCAUUUGUGAUACUUAAGUAACUAGAAUUGCAUACACUGAAUCUGCCCCACCAGAUUUUAAUCUGACCCUGAAAUUGUGUUGGAUGAAAAUAAGUAUUUUGAUGAUGAAGAAAUAUGCAUUAGGGUAGAUUACUAUGAAGAAAUUUGUAUGGUGAUAGUUUAAUAUAGAAAAUAAGGUAAUUUUAAAAAAGACUAUUUACCACUACCUUUGCAACACUGCUUUCUUGUGCAAAUAAAUGAACAAAGCAAAUUACUUGUAGUUUGGUGAGGAAAAAGAGUGCUGCUUCUAGUUAAUAGAUGAUAGGGAGGUAAAUUUUGACCAUCAAAAGUUCAUUUUUUUAGACUAUGUAGCCUGAAAUCCUCAGUUCUUCAAGUUAGAAAUCUUAAAGCUGUCCAUAAGCAUUUUGGUUUUCUGAUCCCAGGAAUAUGAGUAGUGCUUGUCUAAGACAAACCCCUAUCCUGAUCAUCUUUAACAAAUUUUGGAAUUCUAAAAUUAACUCUCUGGGUUGGAUAAAAUUACUUUGGGACUAAUUUCUGUCCCCUUUCCAAAUACUGUGAGCUACAACUUAUAUUGAAGCAUGCCUUCUAAACAUGUUACUGACAUAAUGAUUUGGGAUGUCAACUGAUGGAUGCUUGAUCGAAGUAACGUCUGGGCCAAUAUUGAGUUUGACUGUUGGUUCAUUUAGAUUGACAAGUCUAGGCCAAGUGAAGGAGUCCCUAACUCAGGUAACCCUGGCUCAUUUGUAAACUGUGAUACAACUCAAUCGUUGCUCAACAUGAAUUAUGUUAUAUCUCAACUCAAAACAGCCUUAAAUCUUGAUUACUUUCUGUCAACCGGAUAACUGUUCCAUUGCCCUUAUCUACUUCUAUAUCAAACCCCUUCAACCCCUGCUCCCCUGUGGGGCUGAUAUGGCUUUGUAGAAUGUUUUAGUUUAUGAUGAUGGUGAAAAGUAGGAAACAGUUGCCAUUUUCCAGUACCUGAUCCUAGUUAUAUCCUGGCUUAAAAUACGGCAUCACCUAGUACCUCUUUUCUAUUACCACCUACCUGAUUUGAGAGAAUGCAGGAGCAAGGUUUGAUGGGUACAUCAUAGACUUGGUUUACCUUGGUGCCCAAGGAUCGCAUAAUCUUCUCACCAUUUAUUACUUGGGGUUUGGUUCAAGGGUUUUGGGCUUGGUGAAUAGAGUUUGAGGCUCAUCGAUGCAUUUUGAACUCAUUUCUACAGGACUGAGGGAGGGGGAAUCAUUGUGUUUAAGGGACAAAUAUCACCAUAUUCAUGAUGAAUCAUGUCAGGAUCUGACAUAUGCUAUAGUUGGCUUAAGACUCCUUUUUUCACCAGGUCUUAGAGGCUUUCUGUUGGUUGAACUUCUAUCUGCCAAUAUGGCUCUCCUCUUGGAUUAAGGGCCCAUGUGGGCUUAUUUGAAGGGAUCUCACAAUGAAGAGCUCUUAAGCCUGUAAUUGAGGCUCCUCAGGCUUUCUUCUGAGAGAUUCCUUAAGUGCAACCUGUUUAUUAUCCUACAUUUCUAAGAAGUUUCUAGCAAACAAUGUUAUAAAAGCUCUGUUUUUCCUCUUAGUUGCUUCUUAUCUGCAUGUUUUUAACUUGCAGGAUAUGAAGCGACCAUUUGCACCAAUGAAGGCACUUGACAUGGACAAAGUCAUUUCUGAUAUCAUUGACAAGAUCAAAUGAUGAACACUUUGGGUUAAAUGGAUUUUUAGUGUUUGUGGAUGUCUUUUUGUGGGAAACCAAGUAUCAUUGCUUAAUAGUUGAAACCUCUGUAUUGAGAAAAUGCUAAUUUCAUUUGAAAUUCCUCUCCUGGUAGGUGAUGUUGCUAUUGCUCUAGAAUUCUUGAACCUUUUUGAAUGAAAUAUUGUCGCACCAGUUGUUCCCUCUGCAUUGCAGAUAGGUAACUUGGAUGUCUUAUGGAAAUGUAAACGUUCCAUCAUGUUCAUAUGGCUUUCAAAAGGGUUCAAUUUUGUUUUAGUUGCGCUUUGAGGAUAUUUUUCUUUUUUGAUAUAUACAUUUAUAUUGUGUGCUUCAUACCAUUUUUCUAAAAUAUGCAUAAAUUGCAGGAAUUUGGGUUUGGAGAUCAUUUUUGAUGUAACUGGCCUUUCAUUGAAACUUCAGGAAGAAAUCAUAUGACCUUUCUCUCUCCCUUUUUUUUUUUGUCUCCUUUUUAAAGUUGAAUAGAGUGGAAAACUUUGCAAUUGUCAGAUAUUGAAAAAUUUGACAAAGGCUAUUUCUGAAUGCAUGUGGUUAGAGCAGGACCACGUAUUCUACUUCUUGUUCCAGUCAUUUCUAUGUUUCUUGAGUUAAUGGUAGUUUCUUUAUAAUGGGAAAAUGCUGCUCGUAUCAAAAUGUGUACAUUCUAAAGUUUCUUGUCCAAUUCCAGUACCUGUAUGACCUCUUUCUGUUUUUGACAUGAAAACCAUUCUUUUUCCCUUCCUAGCCUCCUUUACUUCCCAUUCAAAUCCUAGAGAUCUAACAAGACCAACACGAAUGGCAUUACAACAGCAAGGCAUGUGCCAAUAGCUACUUGAGUGGUGCCUGAAGUUCGAUCGGCACUGGGUGCAUCUGCAUGUGAUCCAUCAGCCACGGGUCCAUCAGCUGCAGGCAUAGGUGGAGAGCUGAGGGGAGCAUCACCAGCUGGCGCAUCAGCCCCUGGGCCAUCAGCUGCUGGCACAUCAGCAAAAGAUGGGGCUUCAGCAGAGUCAUCAGAUGGUGCAGGAGCUUCUGCUGAUGGAGCCUUGGCAGGAGGUGGGGUGGUUUUGGACGCCCCUGGACCUUCAGCUGCCUUUGGCGCAGCAGCAGGCGAUCCAGAAGGUGGUGGAGAAACUGGGACGGCCACCACCCCUCCAAUACCAGGGGCUAGUAUAGGGGUGCUGAUCUGAAGCACGGAAAUGUUAAAAGGCUGAGAAGCAACGGUCUUAACCAGCUUGGCUUGGAGACCUGACCCUGCUACUGCAGACCCGAAAACAACCUGUCCACUGCUCAAUUCUGUUACAUUCAAGAACCCUUGUUGCCCAUUAGCCUGACCAGUGGCCUGGAACAGGGUGGUUAGAAGAGCUGUCUUGUUGGACAACUUAUGGAGCUUGGCAACAUCAUAGUAAUCAAGAAUCACAUGCAGGCGCAGGAUGUUCUUAAUAUCAUCCAUCGAUUUGCCGGUGAUUGGAGCAAUGGCGCCAUUCUCAACGGCGAGGACGGUAAUGGUCUGUCUUCUAUUAAUCCCGAUGCUGAUGUUGGUCUGAGAUAGAUAGCUAUUGAAGGUGGAGAAAUCAGGGAACUGGCCCAGGAGUCUGGUGAUGUUAAAGGCCUGGGCGGCCGAGGAGAAGAGUAGGAAAGAAGACAGGAACAAGAGAAGAGGAGGUGGAAAAGAGGACUUGGGCCCCAUCUUUUCUGAUGCUCCCGCUAUUACAGGAGGAACAUCAGGCCCUUUAUAUACAGAGGGGAGAUGUUUCUAAGCCAGAGACAAAGCCUAACUGAAUUUUCUACGUUUCAUGGACGGGAGAAAAUCUCUCCUCCAUCUCAAGCUCAGUUGGAAAUGCGGGUACAAAGAACAUGGUGGAGCAUUGAUCUCUGAGUUUAGAGACGACAGGUUCAACUUUUUUCUGUCAUUUUUAUUUUUUAUUUGUUCAUCAAAACAAAAAAAAUAAAAAUAAAAACGAUUAGAAAACAAUUUUUUUGUUCUUAAAAACAAAAACAUAGUAUUUUUAGAAAAUAUCAUUUAGUGGUUUUCAAAUAUUUUAUUAUUUUAAAAAAUAAUUAUAUAAAUAUAAAAAAUGCUUAAAAAUAAAGUAUUAUGAACCUAACUUAUUUUUAAAUAUAAAAAAUAAGUUAAAAAUAUUUUAGGUUCUUAAAGGCAAUUUUUUUUUAGAAUUGUUUUAAAAAACAUUUUCCAAAGUUUAAAAUCAUUGAUAAUAAAUGCAUUUAUCUUAUUGAAAACUAUUCUAUAUUUAUUUAAGAAUUAAGUUACAGAAAAAACUUAAUUUUAUUUGAAGUUAAAUUGAAUUAAGAUCUAUUUAGAUUUAAGACAGAAGAAAUCAAAUUCAGCUUGGCUUUAAGCUCUUAUCUAAUGUGAAACAUAUAAAUCAACUCAAUAAUCAUAGGAUUUGAUUAUUUAAAAAUUGAUUUUUUCAAUGUUAAAAUGAGAAAUUAUGGAUUGGAUCUUUUAAAAAAUAUAUUGAAAAGUCGGCUGGUUUGGAUCAAUUUAGUUGGCUUUGUCAAGUUGGGUGAUGAAUGUACUAAGCAAGCAAUCCAAAUUUUAGGCGGUGGGUUCAAUGAUCUUUGGUUCAAAUUUGAAGUGAGCAUUUUUAAACCAAGGGCAUGGUGUCUAGCCACGGGAUACCAAGGCAUGUUGUCACUUGUUCCUAGACAUGCUUUUGCGGGUUGAGAUCAAUACAACUACUUAUCGAAAUAUGGUAAUUUUGAAACUAUUUCCAAAUUAAAGUUGUUUUUUAAGAAGAUAAUUUUAAUUAAAUAUGAAAGUUAUUUUUUUCAAAAAAUAAUUUCAAAAUUCAAUUAAAAUUGAUUCUUUAAAAGACAAUUUUCAAUUAGAUUUCUUAAAAAUAUUAUAAAUUUAUAAAUAUAUAUAUAUAUAUAUAUAUAUAUAUAUAUAUAUAUAUAUAUAUAUAUAUAUAUAUAUUUUAAAUUGUUGUAUAUAUAUAUUUUUUUUGAGUUGAAUUUGGUUCAAUUUACAUGUUUUAUAAUCUAAUUAAAGAAACAAUGAUUUAUUUAAAAUGUGGGAAGAAGGCGAAAAUGUCCCAUGUGAACUUUGGGAAGUUUUUUCUUUUUAUAUUCUAAUGUUACAUGCCCACUCCAACAUUAGAAAAAAAAAUGAUGCAUUUAAAAAAAAAAAUUCUCCCUUUUAUUAUUAUUAUUAUUUUUGUUUAAAGAAUGAAAUAAUUUUUAAAUACAUAAUUUUAUAUAUUUUUAUUUUGUUUUCUUUUUAUCAAUUUUUUAAAAUUGGAUCGAUUAUUGAAUUGAAAAAAUUACUAGUUUACGAUUCAUUAGUCAGAUCGAUGGUCAAAUUGAUGACUGUUAUAAAUAUAAAUUUUUAUAUAUUAUUAAAAUUUUAAAAUCAGAAUUUUAUUUGAAAAUAAAAAAUUAUUUGAAAGUCAUAUAAUUAUUUGAAUUCCUAAUGUUUCCAAAAGUUUCUUUUAAUUCCUAAAGUUUUCAAUGAUUUUAUUAAUUUAUUUAAACUCAAAUAAAAAGUUUUAAAAAUCUAUAUAAAAUUAAAAUAUAUAAAAUUUAACAAAUAAAUCAACAAAAAUUUCAAUAAAUUGAAAUUUCAAUAUGCAAUAAAUAAGUGAGGCUAACAAAUUUUAAUAAAUAAAAAUUAUAACAUCAACAAAAAUAAAAACAUUAAAUGUAAAAAUAUUAAAUAUUAAAGUAAAAAAAAUAAAAACUUAAACUAAUAAAAACUUAAAUGUAAAAACUAAAGACUCACUGUCACAGUCAUCAAAAGGUCCUCGUUGAUGAUGACAAGCGGGUCCGAUAAAACGGAUAGCCUGGGCUAUGGGGAGUGGCGGUGGGUAAGGUUUGGGUUUAGGGGGUGGGGAGGCAUAAACUAGGUUGAACCGUUCGGUUUGUUGGUACGAUCGUUGAUUCAUUUGGUCUGAUCCCGAUCCAACCCUUGGAUGACUCAACUAACCAAAUCGAACCAAAACUGUGACCGAUCGAUCCGAUUUUAAAAACCGUGUUUUACAUUCUUAUAUUUUAGGAUAACAAAAUAGCAUAUAUAUCUACAUAGUUAUUUUAAUUUAAAACUUUUUUCUUAAGAUCUGAUAAAAGAUUUAAGAUUUACGAUAACGAGUCAAAUGAGAGAACAAACAUUUUAAAGAUAUUUUAAAAGGGAAAACUUCUACUUAAAUCACUAAACUCAAGCAUAUGUUCUUGUACUUGUUCAUAAAUUUUUAUAGUUUGCUAAUUACUCACAUGUAUUAUUUUUUAUUUUUAAAAUAUAAAAAAUAUUAUGAUAUUAUACAUCCAACCACUAUGCAUAUCCUAUAACUUAUAGUACUAAUUUUUUUUUAAAAAAAAAAAUCCUAAAACUUUUAUACAAUAAGCAUUCAACUGUUCUCCACCUUAAAUUGGUAAGUGGAAUUUAUUUUAAAUUAGUAAUUUUUUUUUUUAUAAAUUUUUGCGUCUUUUCCAAAGUUGAUACUAAUGAAAGUAGGCCUAAUUUAAGGUACAUUCCUUUACCACUCAUGCUGGCCAAAUUCAUUUGAUACAUGAUCAUAUUCAAAGUUUAUUUAUAAAAUAUAUAAAAUAAUUUGAAAACGAUGUUUUGAUCAUUAGAUUGAGUUAGUUACGAAAGAAUUUAUCCCUCCAUUCCUAAAGUUUUGUGCUUAAUAUUCUCUUUAGUUAAGAAUGCGGUAUCUCAAAAAAUUUAGUAAUUUAAUGAUUAAACAUCUACCUAAUCUCGAUCUUAUAAUUAAAGUUAGGCUAAAUACCUAAUCUAAGAACCUUUUAACAUUAAGUAGUAGUAUUCUUUCAAAUGUCAAAUUAGCUUGUAGUGUUAUUCCUUAGGAUGAACUUUAUAUAAAUAAUUUGUUUGAUACAUAAGAGGAGGAAUAAAUGAUGUUUUUUUUACUAAAUUUGGAUGAGAAUAUGUAAUCGACUUUAUUAAUUAAAACCCGCUAUGUAAAACCCUAGUGGGUUUUCAAAACUUGAACAUGAUUAAGUGGGUGAUUACAGUAAUCACCUUAAAAUAAGAUCAAAAUUAGGGUUUGGUUGAGAUGGGAAUCACUCAACCUAGUGGAAGUCACCUUUCCCCUUGAUUCUCAUUUUAAUGAAAGCAAAGCAUUCUGAUAAAAGCUACCCCAAUUCCUACAUAACUUUAGAGGAAACAAUUUAAAUUACAAACAAAAUUUUAAAAAAUAGAAAUAUAUUUUUUUUUUCUCAAAAUAAAAAAUGAAAAGAAAGGAAGAAAAUGGGAAUGCUGAGGUGGGUUGGUCCUCCAAAAUCCAAACAAAUGACAGUGUAUAAAUCAUUGGCAGCCAAACAUGGAUAAGGGAGGAUGGGGAGUGGAUCAUGAAUCUUGAUGCCAACUAAGAGUCUGUCAUCAUCAUAUCCCAACAGGAAUUUUCUAUCUGGAAUCAAUGAUGUAUGUGGUCUUUUUUUUUUCUUUUGGGGGCUCCUAAGAAUACAUCCCUGUGAUGCUUGCUUGAAUUGGAUUUUGAGCUUUAGCCCUCAAACCCUCUUCAUUUCAACCAACCCUCAAGAGGGUUUUUGUGUUUGUUUCUCAUGAAAAUUAAAAAUAGGGGAUAUUUUCCUAGAAAAUGGUUCAUGCAUAAGCCUAUCUCCUACUUUCCACAUGUUUCUUUGUACUAGCCUAUGAAUCAAUGUCACAGUGUUUCAUCACCAACUAAAGUUUCAACUUUAUGAAAAAAAAAUAUGAUAGAGAAUAAAGAAAAUUAAACGUGAGAAAUAAAAGGAUUCAAACAUCACUUUAGAUUUUUUUUUUUUCAAUUUAAAUCAAGGGAUUGCAAGGAUUCUUCCGUAAGGACCUCACUGAUACGAUAAAGAGGAACAUUGAGCAGCCGGAGCUUGUACUCCUACUUCAUCCUUGGUAACCAAAAGGCUUGCACAAAAUUGUACUGUCUUUCACCAUGUCUUGGCAUCAUCUCAACUUUAGGUAUAAAGUUCUAGGACCACCAUUGAUCCAAAUCUCCAAUUUUUUUCUAGACAUGACUUUUGCUACUCUUAUUUCUUCUCUCCUACUCUACCUAAACUCCUUAACAUCGUAACGAUCUUAUAUUCAUUAAGCAACCGAUCUUUAGUAAUUUAAUUAUUACCCAAAAGCUUUAUUAUUUGGAAGUAGUCGAUAAUAUUUAUCGACCUAAUCAUCUAUAAAUAUGUUUGUGACAAAAAAACUUACAUUUUUAUUAUUAAUAAAUAGAAGAAGAAGAAGAAGAAUGAUAUUGAAUGGGUGAAUCCUUUCUAUUAUGUUUAUGAAAAAAAACUCGUACAUUUAUCCUAUCAACAAAUAAAGAAGAAGAUGCACAAGAGUGGUAUCUUCUAGGGUUUCUUUUUGGUCUAGGGAUGAAGGCGUGAGCCCUUUUUCUUAUGUUGGGCAGAAAUGCUGCCAUCAAUCACAUCUUACCUUUCAAAAGUUGCAAAUUAUAUGAAAUAAUAGCUAACCCAAGGUCAUUUUUGGGGGACCCAUGGUCCAAUUUAAAGUGCACCAUGAUUUGAGAGGUAGGGGGAGUUGGGUCACAUGGGCUUGAGCCUAUACAAUUUGAGGGUUUGAUCUCAUUUGGUUCAAAUGUGUUAGACAUCUAUGUUGGGCGCACGUGAGGUCUGAAUUUUUAGGCCAAUUGGAUGGUGCCAUUUGGUGAAGAGGGUUGUAUCCCAAUGAUGUGGAUUAUGACUAGACAAGGGUUAAAAAAAAUAAGGGCAACAAGGUCCUAAAAUAGAGGACCACCAACCCAUGUGAUAUCAUGUGGGCUACAUUUGAAAAUAGGGGACAUCUAGGCAAACAUAGGGAGCAAAUUUUGGGGAGGAAAGGUGGUGAAUGAGAAGCAAAUAGAAUGGGAAAGGAAACUCAAAAAAGUACACUUGGUGUGGUGGUCCUUUAGAUAGGCUUGCUUCAAGCUCAAUCAUCUCAAUCAUUUUUAUUCUAACGAGGGAUAUUAUUUGGACAACCCAUUCACAAACCUAGUUACAUAGAAUAAAGAAUGUUUCUUCUUUUUUUUUCUCCCAAAAAUGUAAAGCAUUAUUAAUAUUUUCAAGGCAAUAAUGGAAAAAAGUUUUUAUAUUAUAAUUUUGGAAAAACUAGUCUUUUUUUAUUUUUUUUUAUUUUAGGAAAUAUAAUCAUAUGCUAGACUAAUUUUUUUUUUUUAUUGUUUUGAAAUAUAUUUUUUUUUCCCCAUAGAAGGGUUUUAAAAUUACAAUAUAUAACAAUUUAAUUAACAAGAAUUUAGAAAGUUUAGAAGCUUUAAAAUAAAUUAAAAGUUGACUUACUUUUAUGUAACAAAAAGUUUAAGAUUUAGAAAUUCUUUAAUAAAGACAAUACAUUGGUGUUAUCUAAAAAGAAUUUGAGUCUAGUACAUUAAAUAAUAUUUUUUUCUUAAUAUAAAUAUUCCAAGAAGAAAAGCAUUUUAUUAGCCAUUUGGCUCUUAAUUUUAUAGAUAUUUUAAAUUUUGUUCUCAUUAUUAAAUUAUAUAUGUCUUCAUAAAUAUAUAUAUAUAUAUGAACACAUACAAAUUAUAAUUGGUAGUAUUUUAUUUAAUUAAAACUUUUUAAAUUAUCAAAAUUAUCCUUAUUUUUAUGAUAAAAUUUAAUUAUCAUUCAAUCGAUCAAACUCGACCGUAUAAUUAUUUCUGUUUUUACUUCUUUAUUAUCAAUUUCAAUAUUAUUGCAUAAACAUUUUUAAUAAUUCUAACAAUUAAUCAAUGUCGAAAAUGGAAUAGACUAAUCUAAGAAAAUGGUCCAAAUAAAAAAUAUCUUUUGGGAGGCAAAAAUAUCCAAAAACCUCUCAUGUCCACGUGGAGAGGCCGUGAGGAAGGUGGCAGUGUCUGGAAACUCUCCAAUCUUUUUUCUUUCUUCAUAUAUCUCCUCUAAAGUCAAUAUAUAAACAAGAACGAAGCCAAUAUUCCCACAAAGUGAAAGGCUUUUUUAUACACACAUCAACAACAAGAUUCUCCCUAACCCACAUCCACAGAUGGUAUGUGUACCCUAAAUCUCACCCUUGUGGCAUCCUUGUACCCUAAUAUUUAAACCCAUUUGGACCCACUAUAUCUAGAUUCUAUACCAAAGAGGAACAACCCCAUCAUCACCCUCCUUUAGGGUUUAAGAGCCCCACCAUCCCCUAGAGUAUUUUCCUCUUGUUUUAUAUGCCCUCACACCCAUAUAAAUACCGCCUCUUGUGCUCCAUCCUUCUCACCUCCAUCAAACCAUCAACCUUAUAAGUCUUUAGUAGUGUUCUUCUUUCCUACCGAUCAAACUCAUUGAAGUAACAAGCCAAAGACACUUCCUGAAAGAACAUGUCCGGGGUUUGGGUGUUCAAGAACGGUGUGUUUCACCUGGAGAAUCCUCAGGCGGAGUCGAAUGGGCAAGGGGGCACCGGCCAGCGCAAGGUGCUGGUGUACCUGCCCACCGGCGAGGUUGUAUCGUCCUACAACUCGCUAGAGAGGAUUCUGAGGGGGUUGGGUUGGGAGAGGUAUUAUGGAGGUGACCCAGACCUCUUCCAAUUCCAUAAAAGCUCUUCCAUUGACCUCAUCUCUCUCCCUAGAGAAUUCUCCAAGUUCACCUCCAUUUACAUGUAUGAUCUGGUUAUCAAAAACCCCAACAUCUUCCACGUUAGAGACUAAAACCAGUCAUAUAUAGCUUUUCUACCAGACCUAUAAACCCCUAGCUAGCUGUCUCUUCCUUAACCUCAUCAUCAUCCCUGUUUGGCUACCCCACCAUUGUUUUUUUUUCAUUUGUGUGCUUCUCCUCCAGUAAUGGCUGCCAACCAAGGUUUUAUUUGACUACUCUCCCUCUUCUCCACUUGUCCAGUACUACUGUAAGAAAGCAGAAACUAUGUGCCUUCAUCGUGUUAGUUUUCUACUGUUGUAAUGCUUGAAUAAUGGCUUUGUUUCAUGUAUUUUAUAUGUAUUAUCCUAAUAAAAUUCCCAUAUUGGAUCUUGAUUCACGUACCCUGAGUUUUUAGCUUAUAAUUAUUUACAUGCAAAUCCUUCUUAUGCUUAGAUGAUCGAUUAACCCACUCAUGCAAUGCAGCCUUAUCUCCCCAAUCUUCUGAGCUUUAUCUUUGUAUCUGAUUUUUGACCAUUCUCACAAGUCUUUCUAUGGAUGACAAGCAUUUUAAUCAAUCCCAAAUGCACUGCUCUCCACCUUGGUCUCUCAGGGAUUUAUUGGAAAACGAGGGCUGAAAACCCUAAAAAAAAAAAGGAAAGGAAAACAAAAAGAAGCUCAAAAUAUUGCUAAAUUUUGAAGAGUUCAAUAUGCUGAUCCCAUGCGCUCGAGUCCACUGCAAGGAGCCAAGGAAACCCAAAUUGGUUGGCCGGCAGUGGUCAGAGAAGCAUACUUGAGCUCCACAAGAUCAUGGCCCUUGGUGUAUUUCACUGAUAUGUUGAUUAAUAUCCAUGAAAAUAAGUAAUCCCCAUCAUAAAAUGGUGUGCUCUGUUCCAUUGGAGAGGUACUCUCUCUAGAGGCAUGAGGUGAAUCAUCCAAUGAUAUAUAGUGAUUGGGCUUUGAUUCUGUGGGGGGCCUAAAUGCUGAUGGGCUUGAUUCUGUGGAGCCCACAUGGCUGAGGGAAGCUGGUGGGCUUCACGUGAAGUGGAUUGCUACUGUUCAUCAACGGGCCAGUACUUAACUGACAUGUGUCUUACGGGUCUCACGGGUCUUAUGGGUCCUAUGGGUUCUCUAAAUCUACUUUACACGUGGAACAUUCCUGAAAAAGUAAAAGCCUAGUCACGUGACUCCAUGGGUACUAGGUUUAUCUGGAACCUUCUAUAUUGGGUGUAACUUGGCUUAAAAUGGGUCAUGCUGUUAAGGGCCAAGGCCCAAGUUCAGGCCCAGCCCAUUACAAGGGCAUAUUUGGAAUUGGGUAGAAAGGCGUGGGAACACAGAGCAAUCCAGAGAAAGUUGAGAGGUGAAGAUGCUGAAGAAGUCGCCAUGAAUUGAGGAUGAUGAUGUUGUUGAAAAAAUCGAAUCUGAAAAAGGUAAUGGUGAUGAAUUCUUGAUUUUGGUUUGAUUGGAGUCUUGAUGAUUACAUGUUUUCAUAUUAACUGUAAAUGAUUUUUUUUUUCAAUGAAGUUUUGGUAUGUUGAUCUGAGUAUGAAGCUUUCAAGGAUGGUUCUGAGUUUGAUGUUGUUUUGAGAAAAUGGGUUUUCCUUUUUUUUUUUUUUGGGUUUCUUUCUGUAUAUAUCGAGAUGAUCAAAAUUGGUUUUGGUUUGAGGGUUAAUUUACCUUUAAAUAAAUAAAUCUCUCGCUUUGUGUAUAUUGGGACGAUUGAAAUGGGUUUUCAUUUGAAGGUUUUGUAUGAUGUGUAGACUUGGGUUGCAAAGUCUCUGUUUUGUGCUAUACUUUGGACUGAUAUUGGAUGCUUUGUUUAAAAAGUUAGGUGCCUUGGCUACUUGGGAAUUCUGUUGGAUGAUACCUUUUCCUCCAUUUCUUUAACCGGGGUUCAUUGGAGGGUUUUCCCUUUUGUUUGUUUUGUUUUGGGGUCAUGCCUUUCAUUCUUAGAGGUGUAAUUUAGCUAAAAUUGAGCUGAUGGGUGUUGUUAAGGUUCCAAAUAUUACAAAUUUGGCAAUGGAUUUGGGCAUUCGGUCCUUGAUACCUUGAUUUUUAGGAUUACGAGUCCCAUUGGUGUUGCUUUGGUUUCCUAAUGGGAACUCUGAAUUUGGUUAACCAUUUUCCAGAUUCUCUUGUUGUAAGGGAAUUCAGGUAGAUUUGGGCUUUUGUGCAUAUGCAUUUGUUGGGAUCUUGUGGAUUACUUAGUUCUGAAGGACUUAGGAUGUUAAGUGGUGGAUCUUACUGAAGUGUUGUGCCGGUCUCUUUUGGAAAGGAGGGAAAUCUGAGGAUUUGGGUUUCCCUAGUGGAAGUAAUGGAGUGUCUGGUUGUUGCUUCAGUAUUUUUCCUUGUACUCCCUUUCAAUCUGUUUAGAGGGGUUGAUAUUACUGAUUUGUUGAAUUGGACCUUGCCAUUGCACAUGAAGCUUCUCCCUUUUCCCCAUUCUUCUCAAUUCUUUUUUGUUCCGUCUUUCUUCUAAUGGUAAUGACAUCUAACCUGUGUCUUUCACUUUUGCAGCUUUGCCAUGGAACAUUGUUUAGUUAUAUUUGGUAUUCAAUUGUAAAUAUUUCUUUUUUCUAGAAUACAAUUUCUACUUUUGAAUGUUUUAUGGCCUUAGAAGUUUUAAUAGUAAUAGUUUCUUUAGCGAAGCUUAAAUGGUACCUAUGGUGUUCUUUAAAGUUCUUAUCAUUUUAAACAUUGAUUUUGUUUUAUCAGGUUAGUUUUAAUUAUAAAAGUGGCAUCUGGCCUACCAUGCUAAUACAAAUAUUAUUUUUUGUAUACUUUUGUGAAUUGGGUUAGGGUGUAUAUAGGGGAUCACACUUUGUCUAUGAUUGACUUUAUAGAUUGGUUGUUUGUUAAGUAAGGGAAUGACUUUCUUGUCUCCUUGCUGCCUAGUUUUUUGGGCGUCUAUACUUCGUGUGUACUAUUUUCACCGUUUCUAGGCAUUUCUAAUGCAAACUCUUAUUUACCUAUAAAAAUAAAAUAAAAUUUGUUUGUAAUGAUGGUUCGAUAUAGUUAUGUUUAUAUGUUCCAAUAAGUGUGGAAGUGGUGUUGAAAGAUUGCAAAUACUCUUUUGUUGAUAGUGGGCAAAUUUUUUCGAGGGAAACCUAUUAAAGUGGCUAAUCUCUUUCAAUUGAGGUGAGAACAAGGGCAUCCUUGGAGUCUAAAUACCUCAUGUUCCUUGUUGAUUGGUGUGCAACUAAAUAAUGAAUGGAUUAGAGAAAAAAAUUCUCAAAGGAAUGAAAAGUGGAAAGGGCUGGUAUGGGGUAGAAUCCAAAUCUUUUAGAGCCUCAGUAGAGGUUGUCAAAGAAAGGGUGGAAGGCAUAGUUUUAGGUCAUGGGUUCUCUAGUUGGAUCAAGUUUGGAGAGAAGAGCCUUUCACUUUUUCUGGAGAGAGUGGAGUCGUGUUGCUAGUGGAAGAGGGAGAGGCCUUAUCAAUAUGUACAGGAGGAAAGGGGUAGGUGGUACAGGUUGGAGCUUCAUAAUAAUUGAGUAGGGCAAUAUAUUUUGUGCUCAGCUUGCUCUAUAGAGGCAAAGUGGUUCACAUUAGUUUUCUCAGACGGUAGGGGAUUUCUUGGGGGUUGGGUGGUUUUUCCUAACAGAUUACAUAGCCUUGGGGUGGUUCCCUCUUCUAUUAGCUUCUAAACUUUCUCCAAAGGUGCUUGCUAUUGAAAGCAGUGAGGUGGCCUAUUCAAAUGUACAAUCCUUUGCAGAGGUUUUGAGGAAGCCUCACUUUGAGGUGGGUGAUGUUGUGUGGAUAGAGCUGGGGGAAAAGGAAAUAUACAACAAGAUUAAGGUGAUAUAAAGUAAUUUAGUGGGGAGAUGGGGGAAUUUCUCAGAUGAAGCUCUGAAUCUAAAGUUGCAACAGAGGUAGGCUGAGUAUUACUAGAAUCCAAAAUGGGACCUUUAGGUGGCUGUGUUAGGAGGCUCCUUGAUAUUGUUUGAAUUUGAAUUAGUUGCUGAUGUUGAGAUGGUCCUUAGACAUCUCUUAAUGUAUAUCUUUGCUUGCCCAUAUCAAAAUAUGAUCCAAAUUCCUUUGUUAACCACUCGUGAAUAAAAAUUAAGAAAUUUGUGUGCGCUACAUUUUUCAUCUAAAACAGGCACACUGUAAGAAAUUGUCUUCCGUGUUUUGCAUGUACAUGGCUGACUUAUGAAAGCACACAAUAGGUUUCUGACACAGGUUGAAUAUUCUUUCCUUGAUUUACAACCAGGGGUUCUGCAUCAUAUGAACAGACUUUCUUUCUAUUCCAUCAUUAACUCAACUUUUAUACGCCACUUUUUCCACGAGAUUGUAAUGGAAUGUGGAUUUUACUCGUGACAAACAUCUUCCUUUUUUCAGUUCAAUCUGUUUACUGAUUUACAUUUCAGCUCUUCAUUCUUGUGAUACUUGUAAGAGGAGUUUUACGGGAGAAGGAUGUAGAAAUUUGGUGUUGCGAACACCUAAAACAACAAACUACACUUUUCCAUAGAGUAUGAAUUUUGGUAGUGAGAAACAACUGAAUUUACAUUGUAUUUAUUUAUUUACAGUGCUAAAUUCAAUUACAUGGCCAUGGAACACGAUGCUGAGAAAUCCUUUAUUCAUGUCGAAAGCUCAGAGGGAUCCAAUCCCAACGGUUCAAAUCCUGUGACCAAGGUCAGGAUGCUGCUGUUUCGCAGAAUGUUGGUGGGAGUUAGCGAUGGACGGUUUUUCCUGGGCAGCUUCCACUGUAUGGACAAGCAAGGGAACAUCAUUCUCCAAGAUACAGUGGAGUACCGUAGCACUCGACGCUCCUCUCCUUCCCCAAUGGAGCAACGCUGCCUUGGUCUCAUUCUCAUCCCAUUCUCAUGUAGAACCUCUUGUCAUGUAGAUUGUUCCAUUGAAGAACAAUUGUCACUGUUGUCACUUCCUGGGUAGUAGUGGUUCCAGAGAUCAUACUUCUACUUGAAACAAUCGCAUCAAUUGGACCAAGAACCGAAUUUUUAUCAUCCUAGGGCUGCGCUCUGGUUUUGGAAUUUUUGUACAUUUUGAACCAUUGGAUCAAUGGGGGAACUCUAGUCCUAGCAAUUUUUGAAGCAGUUAUUUUCCUUUGGUAGAACUGAGAAGCAAUUUGCUUGAAAUUUAAAGGUAAAAUCUCUAGGAUUCUUUUACAUCUUGUUGUUCACCCCCUUUAGAUUUUUGUUCUUUUAUUAUUAGUAAGUCUAGGGAUUAUAGCACCGACAAUAGUUUUCUGUUUUUUAAAAUAAAAAAACACGUUUAAUAACUUAAAAAAAUUAUUUUUUGUUUUUUAUUCUUAAAAAUAAAAAAUAACUUGUUUUUAAAGAAUAUUUUUUAGUUGUUUUUAGUUAUUUUCAUUUAAUUUUUGGGAUUGUUUUAAAAAAUAAUUAUAUAAAUAUGUAUAAUGAUUAAAAAUAAAGUAUUAGAUAUAAAAAUUAUUUUUAAAAAUAUUUGAAAAUAUUAAAAUAUGUUAAAAACAUUUUAUAUUUCUAAAUAGAUAUUUGUUUUAUAAAAUAUUAGAUAAGAAUUUUUAAAAACUAUUCUCAAUUAUUUUUAGUAAAGGCUAUGUUUGGAUAUGAUUCUCAAAAAUAAUCGUAACACGAUGUUUUUUAAGAACAUAUUUUAAUUAUUUUUAAUUUUUAUUUAUUUUUUAAAACAUGUUUAAAAAAUAAUCACAUAAAUAUUAAGAAUUGUUAAAAUUAUUUUUUAAAAAUAUUUAAAGAUAUAUAAAACAAAUAAAAAUAUAAGUGCUUAUCAAAUGCUAGUAUGAGAAUAAUUUUAAUUAAUUAUCUAGAUUUUAAAAAAUGAUUUUAAAAACUUAGCUAAUUGUGUAAGUUUCAUAAAAUAAAAAUUCAAGUAAUUAUCAAGAUUUUCAAAAGUGACCUUUUAAACUUUACUAAUCAAUAAUUUUUGUUAAAAAAAUAAAAUAAAAGACCUUUAUAAGGCAUUUCUAAUUCUCUCAUAAUCAUUCCCAAAAUGCACUUUUAAUAGUAAUUCUAUGGGCUAAAAGCAGGAAUGAGAAGCCAUAUUGAUGUUAGACAUUUUCAGACUUUGAAAGGAUAUCUGCUUGAACACUAGAGACUCCUGUGGAGCCUCUUCAAAUACCAUCUGCAAGAGUUGGCAUGCAAUCAUGUAGAAGCAUGUAAAAAAAUCUGGAUAUAUUCAUAUGACAUUAGUUUUUAUUUUUUAUUUUUUAUUUUUUAUUUUGUGUAAAAUAAGAUUCAAGUCAUUUGACAUUGAAUAAGAUAAAUAGACCAAAAUGUAGGGGUAAAAAAAAAAUUAAUAAAAGUGGACAAACUGCCAAAAACAGUCACCCAAAGAGGAGGAAGCAGCAGUAGGAAACAAAGCUGGCAGCAUCCUCCAAGUCCCCUAUUCAAGCAAAACCCUAAUUGCUCAGCUGAUCACUCUUCCACUGCCAAAAACAUUUUUGCCCGGCGGCAUACUGGAAUCUGUAAUCUGCUACUUUACAACAUUCUAACUGCUAUAUACCAAGAAAUGAGGUGAGAGGGCUUGCAGUCGAACGAGGUUGAUCCGACCAAAAGAAUAAUAAUGAGAGGGCAAUGCUUAAACUGUUGUAUAAUUGGAAAAGAGAUGCAGCAAGUUAUCCUGAGCUUCUGGGUAAAAUUUCCUUGCGAACAAAUAACAAGGCCGCUUCACUCCGUUCCAUAAACAAGGUUGAAUCAUCAUUUUUUUCUGUAGUAACAGUUCAAACAUAUGAUAUUUUUCAUGUUCCUUCUCAAGUAAAAGGGAAUAUAACUAAGAAUAAUGGUUCUAAGUCAAAAUAUUGAAAGAGUGAUAUCUGUACCUUUUCAUUGCUUGUGACAUGAUAGCUCAUAUCAAUAGCCUGCCAUAGUAACAACAAUGUCAAGGACUAAUGCAGAAUUGCAUGUGAUUCUUGAAAAAUAAAACUGAAUAGAAGGAUAAGACAAGGAUCGUACUGUAAUAUUCCUAAGGAGCUCGUAACUGACGUCUUGACCCCUGUAUGCUUUUGGAUGCCACUUUCCUUCUGACCAAUCUACAUGUGUCACAGACCAGUUUGCAAUUCCAGUAGGAUCGAUCAUCUGAAAGCAGCAGCAGUGGGAAGAAAUGUUGGAAACAAGGAAAUAAUAGGAGGGUUUAACACAAGGUUUUAUGGGAAAAAGAGUACAAAGUUUAAUGUGCUGACAUUGAAAAGGGUUGGCAAGUAAUGUUCAUCUGCAUAGCAAUUCCGCCCAUCCAUACCUGGCUGUGAAAUUCAAACACAUCAUUGUCAAAGACUUGUUCACAGAAUUAGGUCUAGAAACAUCCAUGUUUUCCAUGAAUUCCACAAAGUUUUUUGCAAGUGUGCACAUGGGCAGAUUUUAAUCAAGAAAUAAAACAAGUAAAACAGUGCACAAAAUGGUUUCUUGAUCCCUACAAGGAGAAUGCUUCAUCCCUAGAUUGUUGCGUAGAGAAGUCUUUUUUGAAAUGGAGUGAAAACAUAAAAGGGAACAGAUUGUUCUCCAGUCACUAUUUUCAUUAUUAGCUACUCUCAGCUAUGGAAAAAGUAAAAAAAAUGAAAGAAAAGAAAAGAAAAGAAAAGUUACUUGCAGUCAAGUGAACUGGUCUCAGAGAUGUUUUGGUGAUUUGGCGAGCUCGAUCACGAGUUAAGUGGCACACAAGAUAUACUUUUAUCUUUCAAAAGUUUUUGCAUAUUUACACGUAGUAUUGAUACAUAAAUAAAAUGUAGAGACUGAUGUAUCACAGAUCACAACCUCCAAUCCAGAAUACAUUUGAAGGGAAUUGUGAAAGGAUAAUAUAUAUAUAUAUAUAUAUAUAUUGAUAGGCAAUAUAAAAGAUAAUAUUAAGACAAAAGGGAAUUCAAAUGCACCAAAAUACCAAAAUUGUAAGCAAAUUAUUUGAUAAUAGAGCUCACAAAUGCCCGGAUGAAAGAUUACACAGUAGAUUAUAUUUUCCAUCUAUAAGUACUGCCAAUUAGGAAACAAAAAACAAAUUAUAGUUGGAGAGAGCUACCCUGCAGUAAAGCUUGAAUUUAGUGUAGUAGAGACUGUCUGCCAUAACUAUUAUAGCAUGCUGCCGCUUCAUGGAGAACCACUGCAAAUCACAUUUGAAUCAAACUUAGUUAUAUGCAAGAAAUAUUUAAAAAGGUCUCUACUUUUAUUUUAUUUUAUUUAUUUAUUUAUUUUUUUUGUGUUUCUGAUCAGAAGACCAUAUUCAAUGACAAAAACCUAGUUGUAGUCAAAUGUUGUCUUUUUAUAAUAUUGUAAAAUGGAGAUACCACACAUAGCAAAUCAUUCAGAAAGAGAGAGCAUAGGGUAAAAAAUGAUUCAGACUAGUAUCCACCUAUCAAUAAUUCAAAAAUAUAAGGGCAAACUGGAAUCUUGUAACCAAGAAGCUCAAUAUUAAAACUGGUAUUUAAUAUGAAACAAGAACAAUUAUUUUCCAAUAGAAAUUAAAAGGCAUAACAGGAUUAAUUAUUGGGACAACAAGAUUAUGGAAAUACCCUCUCAUGGGCAAAUCAAUCCAUCUAGACUUGCAAAUCCAGUAACCCACUUACUACAAAUAAUCACCAAAACAUUGAUAAAUGUACAGUUUCUCACAAUAGCAGACUCGGACCAUGACUCAAAAUGUUACAUCGAUGAUGGCAUGGGUGUCAAAUGUCAAAGUACCUAUGGCUGUUUGAUGCAUUGACCUCCAAAGUCCAUGGAGGAUAAGAGAACUAUAGAAAAAUACUCUAUUAAAUUGUAUUACUCACUCGACAGAUUUCAAAGUAAGAACUUAAGUUCUAAAACCCGUAAAAAUGAAAAAGAACAGAAUAAAAGUGUUAGCGCUUAGUAUGCAUCUUGUCAUUAUAUUCACCCAUGUGUAUAACAUUUUACUAGACAUACAUGCCUAAUGCCCAAAAAUUAACACAUCUAAGGGUUAGACCCCCCGAGCCUGUUUCCUUUUCUUCUUGUUUUCCUUUUUCUUCUCUAGUGUCCUGAUACAAACUGCUUGGUACUUACCCAAUUUCCAUGAUAAAUAACUCCAAUUUGAAAAUUUUCCAGGAUCCAUAGUAACCCUAUGACAUUUUCACCCUAUCUAAAUAUACUAUCCUAAUACAUCAUAUUAUCCAAGCUUUUUAAGUCACUAUCAUGGGAUACAUGGCAUGACAGAUGGUAGAUUGCAAAAGUAGUUGAUGAAUAAUGAUGAAAAAAAUGAAAGUUUUCAACAUGGAAAAAAAAAAAAACUGUUGCGCAAAUAAUUCAGGUGUAUGCACAAGAAGUUUGAUAAAUUUAAAAUGUAAGAUUAUCGGUGGUCAUAAGAGGAAACUUUUGUGAACAUUAAGAAUUUUGCCAAAAAUUCACUUCACGCUUUUGAAAAUGCCACUAUAGUCCUGUUUAUAAAAUGAGAUUAGAAAAGAAAAGGAACACGACAUGCACAAGUACUACAACAAUAGGUUUCCCAAGUCAUAUAUAGCGCAACAUUUAUGUUCAUUAACGUUUAAGUAUAUAAAGAUGUUCAGCCAAACAUCAGUGGACAAUAUUAAAUAGUAUUACAAUACCUACAUAUUAGAGUUUUUCAGUGGGUCAGUUAUUCUUGCCCUGAUUUGAGCAGCUAUAAUGAAGAAGCUCUAACUAGUGAGAGUACAAUUGCUUGUCAUGGUUUGAUGUUGGCAAUCCAGGAAGUCAACCCCCACUAUUCUAACCAAAAAGCUAAAAAAUUGUGCUGCAUAAGCAUAUAGUACUAUUUCUGAUAGUAAGAAGAUUAGAUUUGCUUUGCAAAAUUGACUCACAGAUUCCAUGGAAAGACAUGCACGCUUCCUUGCUACAUGUAACUAUAUGCAUACUUCGAAAUUGGAACUAAAGUUAAUAUUUUGAGAAAACUACCAUGAUUAGUGGGUUCUGAGAAUGAUUGAUGACUGCUUCAAGGCAAUCAAUUUGCUGAAACACAUAAAAACCUCUAAUCAUGAGAAUGGUUUUAUCAAAGCAAUGUAAGCCAUUCAUGCACAACAUUAACACUUAAAAGAUCCAGAUUAUUGACUGUUGCCAAUAUUAUGAGAAAAGAAUGAUAAGUUGACAGAGAAGAGAGUUUCUAUUGUUGAGUAUUUGGAUUUACAUGCUAUGCUUCCAUGUAAUCAACAAGUUUGAUAAAGCAUGGAAUGAACUUUUAGCAACCAUUCAGAAACCUUGUUUCCAAAUUAACAUACCAAACCUUUUAAAGAUAGAUGGAUAAGCUCUACAUGCAGAAAUGAUUGCAAGAACAUACCUGUGCACCCUUCCUGAAGUCCUUAACUUCAACUUCAGGCAUCAUAUGAUCUGAAUACCUGCCAUUUCCAUGUGGACCAGGAUCUUCAAAACUGUAGAUAGAGAGAGAGUAUCAAUAAAAAGGAAAAAAAUAAUUUAAUCUUCUGAUGCAUGUGUAAGUUAUCACAUAUCAUGUUAUACAGAAGCUUUAGUCUUAAUAUAAAAAAUUAACUGUAAACAGUUUAGUCUACAGUUUUGGAACUUUGUCCACUAUCAGUGCAAAAGGGAGGAAGAGGGGGGAGAGAGAAAGGUUCCAUUCAUAAAGCAUUAGCUCACCAGUCAAUAUAACUGAUGUUUGUAAACAUCAGAUAGUUAUACACAUAAUCAAAGUUAUGCAGGGGGACACAACUGCAAAAAAAUAAAAAUGAAAAAUGAAAAAAGUUAAAACUUGUUGAUUCAGCAUCAAGUGCAAUUCUGCAUGUAGGAAGUGGUAGAGAAAUCUGAUAACCCAAUCACCUAUCAGAUAGCAGGACAAAGUGCUGGUUGUUGGGGUCUUCUAGAGCAUGUCCUAAAAGUCUCUUCUCUGCAUCAACCAUGGAAAUUUUGCCCCAAAUCACCUGCAAUAAUGCCACACAUGAUAGUUUUAUUUAUAAAGAGAAAAUAUGGCAACAGUAGCACAUAUUCCAAAUGUGAUGUUUUUAUUUUUGUGGGGAAAUUUUUUUGGCUAAGAGCAUUCUUUAAAAAAUUGUACCCUAAUGAGAGGCUUUUAUUUUAAUAGAGAAAGCCCUCAGAGGGGUCUGUAAGAUGUAAUAGCAUUGCCUGAUCUUUUAGAAAUAUAAAUUAGCCUCCAUGAAGUUAGAUAUCUUAAAAUUUAUUUCCCUCCAUUUACUCUCCCAUACAUUAAAAUGAUGGAAAGGAAAGAUCUUAACCAUAUAUACAUUUAUUAAAACCUUCAAAAUAUUGUUGAAGGAAUAUAUAUAUAUAUAUAUAUAUAUACACAUAUAUUUAGUUAUUUAUUUAUAAUGUUUAUAUAUUCAAAUUUUGCCUUAGAAAAUAAAAGUCCUAUGCUAUUGCUAAGCUGUAUUCUACAAAAUCUAAGGGUAAAAUAAUCUAAUAUGUUGAUUUUCAAUAACAUUCCUACAAUGAAAAAAAAAAAAAAAUCAGGAUGAAAUGACAAAAAGGGCCAAAGAGGUUAGCCUUAGCGCAAAAUUACCAGCAAAGGUUCAUGUAAAUUUAAUCUUAGAACAUUAUAGCAACACCAAUUGUGAACCACAAAUAAUAAAUAUCAUCUACAAGAGAUGGAUACAAUUAAAAUUUUUCUGUGAGCACAUGUAUAGACAGCAAGUGACAAAUCAGCAUAACCUGCAGACCCUGGAAUCUUUAGAAAGCAUUCAUAUAUGAUGCAGAUGAUUCUUU